rnacentral:lncRNA from 1 species
CAAAGGUUACAAGCUCUAAACACAUAUAAUGUCAUGGCAAACACACAUACUCAAAGUGGUAAAUUCUAAGCAUAUGCAUUCAACUCUUGAACUAGCAUGUAGGAAUGUUAACUAAAAUUGCAUCAAAUCAUAAUAUAUCAUCAAUCCAUACAAGAUUUGUUAGGGCUUUCAACCCUAACCACAACAAAAUACUACUCACUCAUAAUUACAUAAUCAAAUUAAACAUCAAAAUAGAUCUAGAGUUUAAGGGAGAGAGUUGGCUUAGUGGUGUGUUGAUUGAUCCCCAAGCUUACGUCUUGGUGGUGGUGAUGAUGAUGGUGAUUUCCUCUCCUUCUUGCUCUUGAUGUUUGAUGAUAAGAGAUAGUGAAGCUUGAUCUAUGCUUUGUGUGAAUAGGUGGAGUGGAUGGAGAAAAUGGUAUAGAUAAGAGAAUGGAGAAAUGGUGUAGUGGUGGUGGUGUUAAUGAAGCUUUGGGUAAGAGAUGGUGGUGGUGAUGGAGGAGAUGGAGUAGAUUGGGGGAGGAAGAGGAAGAAGAUGGGUUUGGAUUUUGGGGGAAAAAAAAAAAAUGUGUAGUGGUGAAUGGGUGGAUGUUAGGUGUUGUGUAUGAAUGUAUGAUUAUAUAGAUAGAGAUAGAUGAGUGAAAAGUCAGAGACAGAAGAAGAAAAUCAGCUCUCCCAUGGUUCAAACCGUAAGGGAGAGAAGGGAAGAGUGUGAAAUUAGUGAAAAGCUCACAAAAGUCAAGAGAAAAGGUAGGGAAAUGAUGACAUAGGUUAGAGUAGGCAAUGAUGAUGUUUAAAGCAUGAUGGUGUCUAUUAUCCAAGGAAUAAUAUGAUGGAAGUAAAGAUGUUACUCCAUCUCAUUCGUCAUCCUUGCUCCUCCUUCAUGGUGACCGAAAAAGUCAUGGCACCACCAAAAGUGGUGGUGAGCCACCGUUUGUGCUGCCAGUAGUGGUGGUUCGCCGAAUCCAGAAAUUUACGUUUUGCUCCAUCUUGGACCGUCAUUCUUCCUAGCUCCAAAUCUCCAUAUUAAUGCUAAAAAUGGAUGUUUCCAUCACUCUUGCAAUAUUCCUAGAUAAAUAGAAAAUGAUUUAGUGAAAGGUAAAAUGAACUUAAAAACAAGACAAAUUCAAUAUUUAAGGGAAUGAAAAUGUGUAAAAUAUGGUCUAACAGUAGCAAUCGGAUCGUCAUCAUCUUCCAAGGACACCAGGAGGUUUCUUUGCACCGGUGGUGGACCAAAAAUUUCUUGUGGGGGUUGGUCAAAUGUCACCAAACCUUUGAAUUGCAUAAAUCAUAGCAACUAUGAAAAUCAAACGAUUUUCCUUUCAUGUCUUCCCUAAACAUAUCUUUGGCUAAGUGUUGCUAUGACAAUAAUUACAAAAAGAUAAAUAAGAAUAAUAUUUCAAGAAACAACAUUAAAGAAAAUACAUAUAAAAUAUGGAAGAAAAAAAAUGGGUAAAAUAUUGUAUAGUCCUUGUGAUUUUAUUUUAAUCUGAAUAGUCCUUAAAGUCACGAUUUUCAUCCAAAUAGUCCUUAUAGUUUUAUUUUAAUAUGAAUAGUCCUUAAAGUCAUGAUUUUUCGUCCAAAUAGUCUUUAUGGCCUUUAACUGAGAAAAUUGUCGGAAUGACUAUUUGGAUGAAAAACAAUAACUUUAAGGACUAUUCAAAUUAAAAUAAAACCAUAAGAACUAUUUGGAUGAAAAAUUGUGACUUUAAGGACUAUUCAGAUUAAAAUAAAAUCACAAGGAUUAAACAGAUGUCGAACCACAAAGACUAAACAAAUUUCAAUUCAAAAAAAAUCUUACUUCAUUUAUGUAAUUCCCUCCACUAUGAAGUCUCCUCUCGGCACGUGUAAUGCAUGAAUGCCACUUAUUCAUGUAUGGGAAGAGAAAUUUUUGCCAUCGAGACUUACAACUUUCAAACGAUCUUGCAUUUGGUGGAUUGCCGUUGAAGCCUUCAAUAUAUUUUCGCUCCACUUGUUUCCAAAUGCCGUCUCUUUUUUGACUAAUACCCUUCGUACAAUUUUCGGAGACCUUCAUAUAUGCAACACAAAGAACUUCAUUCUUUUUUCUUGUCCAAUUCACACCUUUUUGAGAAGGAGUGGACAUGUUUCAAACAAGUAGAAAUGAUAGAAGAGAAGGAAGUGUGAGAAAAUUUAGAGUUAAAAUGUGUGUAUAUAUAGAAGAUUGAGAGCCAAAUGACCGUUACAAAUUUUUACAUUUUUUUUUUUGGGUACAAAUGUUUCCGUUGGAAACAUUAAAAAAAAAAAUAUUAAACUUGACCGUUGGAUGUCAACGGUAAUGGAAUAGUGACUAUGGGAUUUUGUUUUCAAAAAACUGGUGGGAAAGGCCACAAUUUGAAUUUCUGGCUUAUCUUUGUGGUCCCGAAAGAAGGGCUCUAAGGUCACCUUGAGGGCCAAACUUUGACCUCUCCACUCACCUCAACCCCUCUUGCUCUCUAGCCCUUUAUUAUUAGAGCUUAUUUUUUGAAAAUUAGGGCCCUAGAGUUCACUUGGCCCUCCUUAUUGGAGAUGGUCUUAGGAUACCACGAACAUUCCGAAAACAGAAUGUUAAACAAAAAAACAAAAAAAAAGAGAGGAGGUGAAUGAAGGAUACCGAUCAUAUUCGAUGAUGGGCCUACUCGUACAUCAGAUAUGAUCUUGAACAGCCAAGGUGCGUUUUGAUUUGCUUGGGACUUCAACAUUUGAUCCAAUGGGAGCUGAAAGCAUUGAAUCGGUCGGUCUUAAUUGUAACAUUCUGAAAUUUCAGUUUUCUAUUUUUAAAAGGAAAAUUAUUUUUCGAGCUAUUUUUAUUCUGAUUUCUAUUAUUCUUUAAAUUCUUGGUAGCUUUUGAAAAUUAUUUCAAUUUUUUGGUUGGUUAAAUUUUGUCUUUCGAGCCAUAUGAUUAAACUAGAUGUCGUUAUGAGUUCGUAGGAUUUUUUGGAGCAUCGUUUAGAUAUCAGAGCUAUUUUUAAUGAUUUUUGGAAGUUGGUAUUAUCCAAAAAUUUAAUUCAAAAUAGCAAUUUUGGUGACUUGAUCCGAACCAUUGGAUUUUAAGAAACCGUUUAAUCUUGGCUGUUGAUUGAAGACUACAUUAAUCAAAGAGGAUUAGCUUGGAUUGCAUUGAAACACAGCCCAGACCGGCUUCAGUCUCGAGCUGCUCUGCAGCGGCGGAGCUCGGAGGAGUUGUCUCCGUCGUCCGGCCAUCUCUCAUCGUCUGGUGUCAACAGCUUCGUCUCGCCGUCCCCGACCUCAAGAUGCUCUUCUUUUUCGAUGAGGAGGUCCACUGACAGAGAAUCAAUGGAGAGAAACUUUUCUGGGUUUGCCGGCGAUCUUCGGAUUUCGGUCAUGACAACGAGCACGACCGGUGUGGAUAGUUUCGUCUCGGUCUCGUCGAUGUCCUUGUGGCUUCAAAUUGUCGAGACAAGGUCAAGUGAGGGAGAAUCGAAGAGGGGAAAGAUUUCUGAGUUUUCCGGCGAGAGUUUUGUGUUUUCCGGCCACCGGCGAAGACAAGUGAGGUAUGAAACUUGGUAUUCUCUUCGAGCUCUACCUGUUUCUAACUUUCUAUAAUUGGAAUUGAGUUUGGUUGAGAGAUGAUGAAGUUGGUUUUAGGCAGUGGAGGACCGCUGUGUGUGCCACUGUGCACGGCGGCGGUGGCGGUUAUUUUUGUAGUUUCCGGCCUUAUGAGUAUAUUGAAUUAGUUUGAGAGAUUGUAGAGGCUUGAAUUCGAUAUUGGUAGAGUUGGAGGAUUUGGAUUCUGGGCAGUGUUGACUGCCGUGUACGACGGCGGCGGUGCUACUUCCGUCAGUGUUUGGUGAUUUCUAGUUUUUUUUUUUAUGAAACUCUGAGCUUAAUCUUGAUUGCUAGAAUGACAUGAAAUUGAGGAGUUGGAGAAGGAUCGGAAGAUUGGACUGUGUUGUUAAAGGGUGCAGAUGUUUAUGAGCUUUGCUGAGUUUGGCAUGAUCAUUAAAACAUAAUUAUAUUGCUGUGUCGUUUUACUUGAUUUCUAAAUUGGAGAAGUUGUGUGUGUAUUUGAUAAUUGAUAUUGGAAUGGUGUUGGAGAAAUUGUGAUUCGGUGGAUUGAGUUUGGAUACAAUUAUGGAAGAAAUGCAAUACAAGAAUGGGUGUCCAGAGUAAAAUAUGAAGUCUAUUUGAGGUUGCAGCCUUUACUUUUGAUAUAGGGUUUGAGUGCCCUUAGUAGUUAAUGAAUUUGCAUCUUGUGCAUAUUGCUAUGCAGUUCCGAUCAUUUGGGUGAUCUUUAUUUAUUUUGAAGUGUUUUGGUAAUCGUCAUUCGAUACAAGGAUAGCAUGACUAUCGGCAUUUCCAGAAGCAGAAGGAUAAAGAUUUCAGAAUGCGAGUCGCUGUGUUACUAAUUUUAGCUAGCAUCAGAAGUAGCGAUUGGAUUCCAAGUAGGGUCUCUCUCGGGGAACCUUUCUUUAAAUUGAUAAUUAGGUUAUUAUUGAAAUCGGUGCAUUGUGUGGCAUUGGUUGAUAUAAUUCUUGAAUGUUAUUGUUUUUGUUAAAAACAUGUGUAAUCGUUGAUUUAUAUGAUCAAUGUUAUUGCUUUCCGUAAAAGCAUGUGUUCGAUAUAUAAUGCAAGUAUUGUUGCUCAAUUGAUAUGCAUAAUGCAUUGUGAGAUUAGUGAGAAUGGUGAGAAAGGUGAUUAUGGAGAGAUGAGAAAGAGAUUGAUAAAAUAGAUACAUUUUGUGUAGUUGAGUUUCCUCAUGGGUUUUCCAAGAUCCAGCCUAGCCCACAAGUGCACAAAUUCAGGGAAAGUAUGCCCUUUCGAUGGCGGACAUCAAUAAAACGAACUUUCGGGUUUUGGGUUUGGAGAUCAUGAGUAUAACAAGAUGACUAACAAAAGAGGUACAGGUGGUGAGAUAUUACUGAUUGUUAGAUGGAUUAAAUUCAUUUUAUCCCCUCAAACUUUAGGACUAAAAUCAGUUCAGUCUCUGAUCUGUUUUUUUAAGGAUUAAUUUCAGUUUACCCCCAUCAACUUAGGUCGAUUAUCAUGUUAGUCAUUCUUCUUUCAAUUUCAUCAAAAACACCCCUCAACUCCCAAUUUUCAUCAGCCGCGCAUGUCUAAACCUCCAAUCUCCAUUCAAUUUCUCUGUCAAGUGAUGACUUGAUAUCAAGAAAAAAAAAGGAAAAAUAGACAAAUUGCAUUUAAUCCCACCAAAAUCACCAAGGUUAAGGGGUUGUGAUGGGAACGAAGAUGUGUAUCAAUAUGGGGAGAAAAUGGUCCGAAAUGUAACUUUUAGAAUUUGACUUUCUUCUUGAUAUCAAGUCAUCACUUGACAAAAGAAUUGGAUAGAGAUUGGAGGUUUGGACAUGCGCGACUGAAGAAAAUGGGGAGUUGAGGGAUGUUUUUGAUGAAAUUGAAAGAAGAAUGACUAACAUGAUGAUCGACCUAAAGUUGAUGGGGGUAAACUGAAAUUAGUCUUUUUUUAAUCAGUUCAGUCCCUGAAUUUUUAGUUUUUAUCAGUCAUGUAUAAAUUUCGAAAUUACCUUCAAUGAUUACGUCACAAGCUGAGUUGGCCCACUUUUACAGAUUAUGAACCCCUCAAAAGGGUAUAAUGGACAUUUUCACAUUCCACCCUAAAAUUAAAAACAUAAACGCUCUAGCAAUAGUGCAAUAGUGCAAAACCACGACUUCCUAUUUCUCAAAUGAAGGGUGAAAGGCUGAAAAGUGGGCCACUAUGUUGGCUCCAACUCACCAGAUGACAUCACAUUUCGAGUUAAAUUCAAAUUUUAGACUAAAGUGAUGCAUUUUGAAAGUUUAGAGACUGAACUGAUUUUAGCCCUAAAGUUUAAGGGGGUAAAUUGAAUUUAAUCCUUGUUAGAUCAUAUAUUCGAGACAUUUGAGUCACUCCCGGUUGGUAAAAUACACGGUAUGGGACGUGUAGGCUCACCAAUCUUUGAUGUAUAGGCUGAUAGCCAGUAAUUGAGGAAGACAUUCAUUAUCAUACAUGCAUUGAAUUGUCGUUAUAUUUAUAAAGUUUUGUUUAAUAUUUGAUAACUUGUUUGUGCGACAUAGUUAAGAUUAACUUAAAAAAGUUUGGCCAUACUGAACAUAAGCUAACCCCUAUAUAAUCUUGUUUAGGUGCAUAGGUGGACACGUCUUACGAGAAGUUUAACUGUGCCGUUUAGUCAAGGAAGAAAAUUUCGGUGAUUACGGAAAUUUCGACCCUCCAAAAUAUAGAAAUUUCGACAGAAAUUUCGGGGAAAUAUCGAUUGCAGUAAAAAAAUGAGAAAAUUUACGGAAAUUUGAAGAAAAACAAGGAAAUUUUAAACCAAACUUUAAGAGAUGUUUGUUCUCUAUAUUAUGUACUAUAUUUGAAAUGAAAACCUUGAAUAAACAUUGAUCUAUAGGGAGUUGUAGUAAGUUAAGGUGAAAAUGAUAGUGCUGAACCGUUAAUAAUUCUUAAAAGUUUACUUUAAAUAUCUUUUUUUUGAAAGGUAGAUAUAUUAAAAAUGAAUUAAGAAGUGUAGGUAAAAAAGUUUUUUUUUUUAUAGAAGUGUAGGUAAAAAAGUUAGUUGGGGAUUAGACAUUUACCUAAUUUUUUACUUUUCAGAUUCGGAAAAAAAAAUCAAUAUAUAUUAUAAAUAUACUAAAAUAAACAAGUUAGAUGGUUAGUAGGGUUGGUUAAAGUGUUAACCUUAUACCAACCCAACCAAGGUUUGAAUCCCUUGGCUGCAAAAUUUUAUUUUGCCAUGCAAAGUGCAAACCAGUCAAAGGCUCAAAGCCAAAGUCAAAAGUUUCGGCUGGUCUACAUUCACUACUAGAAGAAAAGCUUUAGCCGACGAAAAUAAAAAAACCAGGCCGACGAAUUAUUUUUUUUUCGGCUAACGUGGACUUUAGCCGACGAAAUUUUCUUUCGUCGGCUAAUUUAAAUUUUCGUCAGCGGACAAAAUUAAAAUUUCGUCGUCUGGAUAAUUUUUUUCGUCGGCUAUAGUCUGUGAACUUUAGCCGACGAAAUUUUUAAAAGUUUAGCCGACGAAAAAUAUAAUUUCGUCGGCUAAAGUGCCUUAUAUUUGCAGAUCUGGACAACAACUUAUCUGGGAAAAAAAAAAACUAUACGUAGAACCUUCAAACGCAAAAAAGUAGUAAAAUAAGAUAUGACCAGAAUGGUGAAAUACGUCUACGGUUGAAAAAUCACUGUAUUCUGGUAAAGUCUCGGUGCCGAUAGUUGCGGUCAAUGCAAUUUACCCUUAUUAUUCACUAUGCUGCAGAUUUGGCGUUUGGUGUCCGAUUGACUAUUGUGAUACCUUUCCGGAAGCGUAACGGCCCUACGAGUCAAACUCAUCGCUUUGCCAUGACAUAUGGGCCUUUUUGGUUUCCGAGUCCGUUUAGGGCUUCAAAAUGCAGUUUUCUUAUUUCCGAUUAGAGUUGACCGUUUCAAUCGAGCCCUUAACGUUGUCGAAUCCAGUUGAAUUUUUUACCAUAGACAUCUUUCGUCAUAAUGAUCAUAUCUGACGGUCGUAAUUUUGGUUUGUAAAUUUUAGUCAUCGGAAUCACAACGUGUCUACUAUUUACCGUUAUUAUUCCCUAUGAGGAGCCCUAUCGUCGGAAGGUAAAUGUCUCAAAAAUUUUAUAUGGGCAAUUGCGUCUCAUCUACGUGAGAGUUUUUCGUGUGGAAGGUUUGACCAAACUACGUAAUAUAGAGGGAGAUAUGAGCGUUUUCGUGUGAUAAGUGACGAUGGAUUAGGGUUGACUGUUUCGAUCGAGCCCUUAACGUUGUCGGAUCCAGUUAAAUUUUUUACCAUAGACAUCUUUCGUCAUAAUGAUCAUAUUUGAUGGUCGAAUUUUGGUUUGUGAAUUUUAGUCAUCGGAAUCAUAACAUGUCUACUAAUGUUGUAUAACUUGUUUAGUAGGUUAUACAACUUUGUGAACCAACUCUACAUAGGAAGAAGAAUUAUCAAAAAUCUCAUGAAAUAAGAUGUGUUCAGAAUGGUGAAAUACGGCUAUGGUUCAAAAAUCAUGUAAAUCGGGUAACGUCUCGGUGCCAAUAGUAGCGGUCAACCCUGUUUACAGUUAUUAUUCCCUAUAGGGAGCCCUAUCGUCAGAAGGUAAAUGUCUCAAAAUUUUUAUAUAGGCGGUUGCGUCUCAUCUACAUGAAAGUUUUUCGUGUGAAAGGUUUAACCAAACUACGUAAUAUAGAGGGAGAUAUGAGCGUUUUCGUAAAUUUAUAGGCUUUAGCCGACGAGAUAUUAAAAAAGUCGUCGGCUAAGGUCAAAAAAAUUUUGACAGUAAACCAAAUUUGGAGGAAAAUUUUCAAAGGACUUUAGCCGUCGAAAAUAUAUGAAAAGUCGUCUGCUAAAGUCGAAAAAUUUUCAAAAUUUUCAAAAUUUUCAACCAAAAUUUUUUGGCGGUCAACCAAAUUUUCAAAAGAGUUUAGCCAACGAAAAUAAAGAAUUUCGUCGGGUAAAGUUCUUUAUAUAGGAGUUUUACCGGAGGUGGAUGGUAAGAAGUCAGAAAAUCAGAAAAAUGCCGGAUUUUCUUCUCGGCCUAGCUCCGCCGUCAAGCCACUGGAGACCGCCACACUUGUCCCAAAAGCUUCGCCGUCGUCUCUACUUCAUUGUUGGACAGGUGGUGCAUCGAGUGGCGCCGCCGUGAGGGAUAAAUCGAGGUCGAUCCCUAAACCCUAAUUCGGCGUCGAUCGAAUUUCUCCUUUCUCAGGUCACCAUUUGGUGAGUUCUAUAUAUGGAUAAGUUGAGUUUGAUUAGUACUACAUUCCCCUAGAAUUUGGUAGCUCGAUUCGGUGUGUGUGAGGAGAAUCGAAUAUUUGAAGUUUUUAGGGUUUAAAAUUGGGGAUUUUUAUAUUUUGAUUCAAUUGACAUGUUUAGGCUUAGAAUUGGGCUUCGACUUCUUCUAGAAAGUUGUUCGAAAUGUUGGGAUGAAGAUUCUGUCAAAUUUUAGUGGUGAUUGGAGGUGGCCGAAAGUUUCCGCAGUUUUUUUUUCAAAAACCAGCAACUUUAGCCGACGAUAUUUAAAUACUUAAAUACUUUAGCCGACUAUAUUCGUCGGCUAUAGUAUUUUUUAAUUUUUUUUAUAAGGUUUAGCCGACGAAACAGACUAUAUUUCGUCGGCUAUAGUUAUUUUUUUAAUUUUUUUUAAGGUUUAGCCGACGAAUAUCUUAAUUGUUUCGUCAGCUGAAGUCUGGGAAAAAAACCGACGACAUGUUUUUCGUCGGCUAAACUGUGGGACUAUAGCCGACGACGUCUUCUUUUUUCGUCGGCUAAAGCCAUCACCGACGAUCUUUUCCCAACGAAAUCUUAGCCGACGAAUUAAGCUAACAGGCCGACGAAACUUUUUCGUCGGCUAAAGUGUUUGUCCUGGUAGUGGUUGCAUGGAAUCGGAAGCGGAAGCGGUUUUUUCAAAAUUCUUCUGGAAGCGGAAGCAUUUUGGAAACGUCGAAAUAAAAUAUAUUAUUUAUUAUUAUAUUAUACUCUUUAAUUUUUUUUGUAUAUGAAUGGAUUAAUUACUCAUAAUAAUAAUAACAGGUAAUGGUUAAACAUGACAAUUGUUCGUUUUUAACCCACAUCCAAAUGGAUCCAAAGCAAUAAAAAAUAUUUCAAGUCAAAUCCUUGAAUAUAUCAUGUUUUGAACGGCAUAAAUCCUGUAACCAACUGUGAACCAACUGUGAAGUCUAUCCCAUUCCCAGCGAACAACAAAACCACUUAAACAACCCCAAUAUAUUCAAUCAAAAUACUGUGAAAUGAAACUCACAGCCAAAGCAUCGGUUCCACCCAAAUAGGUACUGCCCAGCUAACCCAACCCCUUGAUCUGCACCACCCAAGAGCGACGGUGGCGGCGACGAGAUUGGAGACCAACGACGGCGAGAGGGAAGACGACAGCGAACACAACCAUGAGAGCCAUCAUAGAAGCUUUUGAUGGGGCCAUUGUGUUUACAGAUUUUGAGAUUUGUGAUUUGGUUUUUGAUUUGCAGAGCUUGUGUUUCCUAUAGGUCGGAAGCUCGCGCUUCCAGAUUGGAAGCUCACGCUUCCCGCACGCUCCCAAUUCUAUUUUUUCCGGAAGCGCGCUUCCAUGAAGCUUCCGCUUCGCUUCCUGUUCCGAAGCGCGAAGCGUAGGACUGCCGGCGCUUCCGUGCUACGUAGAUUUUAACAGUUUCGGCCGAGUUUCGAAAAUAUCGAUAUUUUCAAAAAAUAUAUCGCGAAAUAUCGAUUUUUUGGCCCAAAAAUUUUGGGGUGAGAAAAAAAUUUCAUUACGUGAAAAAAAACGAUAUUUUCGACAAAAUAUCGCCGAAAAUAUUGAUUUUUUCUUCCUUGCAUUUAGUUGAUGUAUACAAGAGUCAGCCAAGUUUACGGAAGAUUAGAAGUGAGAUAGAUCACAAGGGCUCAUCUUUUUGUCUUUAUAUUUGUUUUAUUAUUUGUAAACGUUUUAUUUUCUUUAUUUCUGGAAAAAUAUUUGAAUUUGUUUUAUUUUCUUUUACUUUUCCCGCUCACACCUCGGGUUCAGUGUUAGAUGUUUGGAAACCACCGACACCGGGUCCGGAGUGUGACAUUAAUGCUGGUUUUAUUUUAUACCAACAUCCUAAUCUGCCUAAUGCCGGUGUACGUCUCAUGUCAAAAGGCUGCUAAACUGAUGCGACAUGUCGAUCCAGAGACUUCUAAGCUAGCUUAGUACUUAUGAGCCGAAUGAUUGCAACGGCAUGAUGAGGAACCUUACUCCAAACCCUAAUGUGACCUCAGACGUUGAGUUUAAGGCAAAUUGGGAGCCCUAGUUAGUAGUUACCCUACUCAAAGCUAUUCUCAUGUUUCAGUAAGAUGAGUUGCUUCUCAUCACGUCCAGCUGAACCAUAGUGCAGUUGAUAGUGAACAGUUAGUCAUUUAGAGAACAACAACUAUACAAACUAGCUAAGUUUGACAACCUUUAGAGCAUCUUUAGCAAUGCUAGUCAUUUUUGAGUUAAAUUUUAGUCAAAUUAACUAAAAUGUCAUUUUAGCUAGCCACUUUAGAAACGCAGCUGCAUCAAUGUUCUCUAUAUUAGCUAACAUUACAUCAACAUUAUUCUUCAAAUAAAGAUUAAAUAGUUUAAAUAUAUUUAUAUAUCACGUAAAAUAUCUUAUAAGGAAUGUAUUAAAUUAUAGCUAGCCUCAUCUGAGUCAUCUCGCUCUCUAUAUUUAGCUAGCGAGAUAGCUAAAAAUCAUAAUAGUUAAACUUUGGCUAGUCUGCUGGAGCUCCGAAAAUAUCAGAAAAAGCUAAACACGCUUUCUAAAAUAACUAAAAGUUAAAAUAGACAGUUAAAAUUGCUGUUAUUUUGCUUUUGACUGUAACUUGUUAUGGAAAUAGGAUUGGAACGUGUGUGGUAGUUAAUUAAGUGUCAUAUUCCCAGUCGCGCAAAGGUCGUCGGGAAAGUCCAUGGUGAACUAUUCUUUAUCGCCAAAAGCAACCAUUGCGACGAUUAAUGUUCGUCGAUUAAAGCCUUGAAAUUGUAUGAAGAUUCCUGUGGUGCCUACAAAAAAAACAUUUCGAUAAUCUUCCAUAUGCGACGUCCCGACCAUAAUGGCUCACAAGCACUUUCAUUAUCUGGAUUAAUUCAAGCUUAUCCAGUCCAGAAGUACACUCUCAUAUUUGGUAGGAUAUCUGUAAUAGAAUGCGCAAAUAGGAAACAAAUUUAUCCUGUUUUACAAUUCAGCUUAUUAGUGUCUUCCUUAUUUGUCUUUAUAUAAUUACUUGCUUACAAAAAAGCAAAAAGAAAAUAAAAUUACUUAGUGGAUGGGUCAAGCACUCAAGCUAUUACAUCAAGUGCACGUUUGGUACCCGGUACUGGAUUAGACCUCCUUAAUUCUUAAGACUGUCCUGCACUAGUGUGAACUGUCUUAAAUUGUACUAAUACUAGGCCACGUUUGGUGUUGCAUGGGAUUAGGAAAAAAAGUUCUAAAUUAGAGAUGUCUCAUGUUUGGUGAUGCAUUGGACUAGACUACUCUAAACAUAACAAUCUUAGUCUAACAAUCUAAACAAUCUUGGUUAUCUAACAAUAACAAUCUAACAUCUAACAAUCUUGGUCAUUGAAAUUUUGACAAGGAUUGUACAAACAGACAUAUUCUCUAAAUGCCACAGUUCCAACAGCAAGAUCAACAACAGAUUUCUUCCAUCCAUAUCUAAAAGUAAAAAAAUUGAAUCAACCAACAAUUCCCCACAAACAAAUAAGUGUAUGAAUAGACUUGCAUGCCUUAGUUAACAUUGAUAUCAGUAACAUUUAGUCAGAAUCAACAUAUUAAGAACCAAACAAUUAGUAUUAAUUCCAAUGUUUGUUUUGAUAAACAAGCAUCAGACAGAUAACAAUUCACCACAAUCAAACUGAAUCAACAUUAAACUGAUCAAUUAAUUAUCAAAGAGAGAAAGGAAGAAAUAGAUGGACAUACCUGUUGACGAAUCCGGGAAGAAGAUGGCGGCGAGCUUGGCCUUGGAGGUGUCGACAGCGCGGGUCAGAGGAGGUUGAGGACGGACCGGGUCUGGGAGACGAGGGUGCGGAUCAGAGAGGAAGUUGAGGAUGGGAGCGGAUGCGGGUCUGGGAGCCGAGGGCGUGGACGGGAGGGGUUGCGGGUCUGGGAGCCAAGGGCGAGGGUCAGAGAGGAGGUUGAGGACGAGAGAGGGCGUGGGUCUGGGAGCCGAGGGCGGGGGUGGAGGAGGUUGAGGACGGGAGAGGGCGGGGGUCUGGGAGCCGAGGGCGAGGGUGGAGGAGGUUGAGGACGGGAGAGGGCGCGGGUCUGGGAGCGGAGGGGGCGGAGCAGAUGCAGAUCUGGGAGAUGAAGGUGGAGGAGUUGUGGAGGAGGCGUAGAGAGGUUAGUGAGAUUAGUGAGGUCUUAUCUAAGGUAGGAUUUUCGGAAUACCCACGAUAACACCGGUUAAGGAGGAGAAAUCAGAAAACCGGUCCUAGUUAAGCCCAUUAAUGUUAGUACCGAGAGAGACCAAACGUGGGAUUAGCUUUGUUUCACUCCUUAUUUAAGAUUGGCUUAGGUAGUACCGGGUACCAAACAUACCCUUACUAAUCUUGUUUAUCCAAGACAAAUGUUGGGUCAGACAACAAAGGACUACUAGUCAGAUAUGUAAUUGUUUUUGGGUGAAAUAGUUAUAUAUUUUGGAUCAACAUAUAUAGAGAAAAUCUGGCUUGUGCGACCAACCCCACAGAAGCUAACACAUGUCACUUUUUUCUCCACGUCAACGUUGCUGAAAACACAACAAAAGCUCUGGUUCGUUUCCGACUACACUUUUCGCCGCUUCGCCAAGAACCGCCUAUUGCACCAAGCAGAACAAUCUCUACACCCUUGAAACCCUCCUCCAUCACGUCAACCAACACCACCACCUCAAGCUCACUCAUGAACGCCUGCACAUAGGGAUCCACUACAUCACAUUCUCCAAUCACAAAUCCCUCCGGUCGUGUUUGGAUUACCUGGAUUACCCCACUGGCAAGAACGCAAGAUCCCCAACUCUCACCCAUCUAACUCGUCCUCCCUUAAAACCCUAAAUUUCCCGAUCUUCCCCUCGAUAACUCCCCCUUCUCCAAACACAUCUGAACAACAAUGGCUUCUGUGUGGAGAAGGAAAUUAAAGGUUAGGAAGAUGCUGACGUGGAGAAAAAGUCUCAUGUGUCAGCUUAUGUGUGGCUGGUCACACAAGUCAUCUGGUGCGGCUGUUGCAUGCCAAAUUUUCUCACAUAUAUAACUUGGGUCAGAGAAAAUAACAAUUUGAGUACAAGUACUUACAUGGAAACAUAUUUUUUCGGUUAAUUUAUAGUUUUUGAGCUCAUCAUAAGUUCACGGGAAAAAGAUGUGACCGUUGUAAUUAAAAAUACUGAAGAAUUAACGCGCGAAAUGUUUAAAACCAUAAAAGUUAGAGUUAAUUGAUUAGUGUAAUUUCUAAUACUCUUUGUUAUGAUACAACUGUUGCACCAGAGGAAGACUAGAAAAGCAAAAUCCAAGACCAAAAAUAUAAAUGGGAAGGUUUUGUGAUUUAAUUCAUCUGCAGACAAAGGAAUGGAGCAUACAUGUCACUGAAGUUGAUGACAUGGCAACGAGUAAUUGGUGAAUUGCAGCUAGUGAUUAGUUCAUCAAGGCUUGUUGUACUGCAGGUGUCCUUCAUUCAGUCGGGCACGCUGUACUGAGAGGCUACCACCCUCUUUCUGAGGAGCCCUAGCUAGAAUAAAUACAUGUCAUUUACCUCUAUCUUUCUCCCCCGCAGAAAUAUUAUUGUCUGAAAUCAACUAGCUCGAUCAGUGCCUCCCUCCUUUGCUCUCUCAUAAUUUAGGGUACGUAACUAAGAAUUGAUCGAACAUCUGGUUUUGGGCAGCUAGCCCUUCUUCAAUUCCAAUAUUUGUCCCCAAUUAUCCUGAUCUAAUCGAUUCUAGUGUUGUUUUCUUAAGGUUUCCAGAGAUCUUAGCUGAAAAUGAAUCAAUACCCUGAUGGACGAUUUUUCCUCAACUAUAGAGGUACGUGAUGUCUUGUAAUAUAUAUGGUGAAUGGAUGAUUUGAUUUAUCGGAUAUAAAAUGGUUUAAGGUCACAUAUGAGUGGUUCAAGUCUUUUGGUGCCCCAAUUAAUCCCAUUGUUCUAGAUCUCCUUGUUGAUGAUUGAAUCAUUGAAUCAACUCAAUCAAGGCUUGGAUCUAUUGUCUUCCUAUAUUAAUUUUUAAGGGAAAAGGGUUUGAAUCAUUUCAUGAAAGUAAAAUGAAUCAGAAAUUGAUAGGAAUUGUGAACCGAAUGGAUAAUCUAAUUUGGGGAAACGAUCUAGAUUAGAAGGAGAUAACUAAUGCUAGGAAAAAUUUUGUGUACCAUGAGGUGCAAAUUUCGCCAACCUCAGUUUUUCCCACUUCAAAAUUACAAAUUUGUGUUUUCCAAAAAUUAUCUUGUUUAACAGAUCUAGUGUUGAUUCUCAAUAAAAAUAAAUAAAAAAACAGAUCUAGUGUUGAUCUAGUUCAAUUUCAUCACAAUGAUGAGAACAUUGAUCGAUCUCCUUCAUAAUUUUACAUUUUGGUUCAAUCAAAAAAAAAUAUUGUUAAUUAAUUUGUGGUGAGUAAUUGUAAACAUGAUCUAAACAGUUCUGUUAAUCAUAUGCAGAAGUGCUUUAGAUCUACCCGGUUAACUACAUAAUACGAAAUACGAAGUUAAUCAUCUAUAGACUAACUAAUCUCCACUCUCUCGGUACUUAGACAACCCCGUUGUCAUAAAUAUGUGUCUUGAAUAUAUUCAAAAAAAAAAAUGUGUCUUGAUAAUGAUUACGUAUGCGGCACAAAAGUGUACAAUUUUAGAUAACGUUCCACAAAUUUAGUGAAAAGUGACUAAUUAAUUAUCCAAAAUGACAUUUUAUACGAGUUAUAUCUAUGGCUAGCAUGUACACCUCUUUGCUUGUACUUGAUGAACGUUCAUGACAUUUUAUUUGAAAGGGAAUAUAUGUAGGUCUCCCACUGUAUAGCUACGUACGUUAAUGAAUUCAUCAAUCUUGAUUUUCAUGCAUAAUCAUCUCUAUAAUUUUGAUUCAAUGCAGCUGAUACCGAAUCGGUGGACAGUAGCAACGAAGCUCUGCCUGACGAGGUUCCUCCUCAGCUGGCGGAUACGCCGGGGCCUUUCCUCAAGUAUCUGGCCUUGGAACCACCACGUCCACCAGUUGCUACUGCAGUAGCUUCACCUGAAACCAGUACCGGAAGACGCUCGGAAAAGAAGAAGAAGCCGAGCAGUAAGAGCAGUCCCAAAGUUUCUGCUCUUACACCGAAGAGGAAACCAGCGCCUGAGCCGAAGACUUGGAUUCCGCUGUGUGUGAGAGAGAGCAAAUGGGACGCGUACUACUACGCUAAUGAUACGAAAAAAUUUCAUCUGAAAUAAUAAGACUCUCUUUAGUGCUUUCGUCAUGUUAAUGGUAAAUAAGUUGGUACCCGUUUGGCUUUGUUCAAGUACUCUUUUCAUUCUCAUUUCUCAUCAGGUUAAUAAAAUGACUAGAGUUUGUUAUGGCAUAUAUAUCUCUUUGUAGAGAGGCCUCAGCGUAUUGCGUAUCGGUUUGGCAGUUUAACAUUUUUGCAUGUUGCCUUGAAUUAGUGAGUAAAUUUACUGAAGUAAUUUCCUCGAUUUUUCGUGGUUUAACAAAAAAAAAGUAUAACAAAAUCAAGAUGCAUGGUUUACAAGUAAAAGGAAGAAAAUUCCAGGUUUCCUCCAUGUUAAUCGAGUUGGUCAUGUAUAUAUAUGCAAAUGAUGACAAACAAUAUGGGAACAACAAUAUAUAACGACCAACAAAGCAACGAUCGAGUCUGAUUGUUAAAUCCUUUAAUCAGUUAAUGUAUGAUGAAGUUAACUAAGCUGAGCAAGUUUUAUCAAAGAAUUAUUACGUGACUUAUGUCAUUGAAUCAAUAAGUAUACUAAACAAGUUAAUUCAAAAACAAAAAACAAGAUAAAAACUAAAAAGAGGGACAUGGUGAGCUUGUGCAUGUUCACCUCUACAAAUUUGGAAUGGUUAUACAAAGUAAUUUAGACCUAAUUAUCGAGCAAAUCAAUUGAAUUGCCACCUUAGAAAACAGAAAUGCAUAUAUAGCACCGACGAAACGUCAGCUAGAGAUUCUUCCACAUCCAAAUUUUGAUCCUACCUGAGUUCAUUUCUUAUAACUUUCAACACCCGUCUUAAGAUAAUAACUGGCAAUAAAUAAGAAAAUCUUAUCUUAAAUUUCAGACUGCAUGAAAGGCAUAAAUUGCAAUCUGGUCUUUGUUUUCGUAUUUGGAAUGAUAUCUGUGCUUUUGCCACAGCAUCUACUCUGAAUAAAUUAAAGCAAAGGGGCUUUGAUAGGUAACAAAUAUUCGUGCAUUAAUCAACCAAUUCAUUUUUUUUUUUUUCCAAAGGUGUAACUAGCAAAUGAGUCAGUAAAUGUAAGAAACUGGUCUUUUAAACUUGCCUAAUGCACGGGCUCACAUUUCUCCGGUUAUAAAAAAUCCACUACCCACUUUUAUCUCCUUAAUUAUCUCUUUAUUUUAUUUUUAUUUUUUAUUUUGCUAUUUACCAUAUUAACCCUUGUUUUUAAUAAUUUGAUUCAACUUGAAACAACGACUACAUUGGCUCCAGCAGCCGAACAUCGUCGUCAAGCAACUCUGUAGUGGCGUCAAGCAACCCUGCAGUGUCGUCAAGCAACCCCGCAGCGCAGUCAAGCAUCCCUGCAGCGUCGUAACCUUCCCUGCAACGCCGCCAUGCAUCCCUGCAGCGUCGUCGUCCUCAACCUUCACCAUUGGCUUGUCUAGUCACCAUGCCAGCUCAAUCCCGGCACAACCACUGUUAAGCCGUCCUAACUUGAAGGUAGAGACCCUCACCGGACUACAAACCACCACCGCAAAGGCAUUAGAUAGGAACGGACCCGCAUCCCGAAAUAGCAAUGUCCCUCCGGUAACCAUCAGACUAGAAACCUCUCUUCCAUACACAACACCAGAUGUGUUGCCGCACAACACCAGAUGUGUUGCCGCACAUCACAGAGGCAGAGAAACCAUCGAUCUCAACGAGACCGAGAAGGAACAGAAGAAAAUAAUCAGACCAAGAUCCAAUUAGAGCAUGAAGAAGCCAACGGAGGAAAACCCCGCCAUAUCCAUCAUCAAGAUCACCCGAAAGAGAGGAAGACGCUCUAAUUCCGACAACAAAUUUAGAGCCGCCACCGCCGCUAGGGAACCCUAGCAGAGAGACUCUUGUCAUAACUUAAGACUAAGCAAAACAAACGUUAGAUCAUCUAUCCGAAUCUUAUUGUUGUUGUUUGGUUUUAAUUUGUGUUCACCCCCAUUUUUCCAAUCCGCAAUUUUAAUUCCUUCGUAAUAGUUUACAAGAUUCAUCACCCAUAGGAACAUGGAACGAAUAAGAUAGUAAUAUGUGUACUGAGAAGUAGAGGGAUUUUUCCAUACGAAACUUCAAAAAAAUUCCUUUGUUUUUUGGGAUUGUUUUGGCCACACCAGUAAGUCUGGGUAUGCAAAGUCUCUUUUAGUCGUUGCAGGCGUACCACCGUGCGAACGCGAAAUGUAGUGGUUGUAGUAGCGGGGUGCGCUUAGCCUUUUGCUUCUAAUCAAGCGACUAAGGAUGGAGGGAGCACCAACUCCACCACAGGGUUCUUCAGAUUCGUCUUACGUAUUGGGCAAGGACUUACAAUUGUCGCCUGAGCGUCACAAUAUCAAUACUCGACAUGAGGUCGAGCAGAGCAUCAAUUGGAAAGGAAAGGAAAAAAGACAAAACUCCGGGGAGCGUACAAGGAAAGUAAAGAGACAAAGCUUCGGGGAGUUUGAAAGGAAAAUGUUUGCUAAGGCGUGAGGCUUUAGCAUCUAGGUUCAACUAGGUCGAUAGCUGUAUUGUAUUUUUGUUGAGUUGUUGAGUGUGUGUAGAGCAGAUCCUCGAACUCUAUUAUAUAGAGUUAUUUUAAUGCCACAUGUAUUGGCCCAAAGUAUAUCAAAGACUUGUGGAAGUCUUCAACAUUAAUAUUGUAUCGUAGGCAGUUAGACUCAUUUGCCUCUUGAUAUAACUUUGUUAGCUAGGUAGCGAGAUAGUGUUUGAAUAUCUCGUGGAGACCUAAAGGCCUUCUAAGCUUAUCCUGCUGGAUUUGCAUACGUAUCAUGUAUACAUAUUAAGGAAUAGAAUCAACCCCUUCUCAUGCAAGCAACAUGUGCACGUGUAGUCCCUCAAGCCAAGCAUGGAUAAUUGUUUCCUUCUCCAAUUGAGAUACUAUAGCCGGAGUCUGCAUCUUUUCUUCUUUUACGCGAACUACUAGUCUUCGCAUGCAAGCAAUCUCCUCGCCUGUAAACUCCUCUUCGCAUGCAACUACAUUGUCUAGCUCGCAUGACUUUGUUGGUGGGUCAUCACUUGUAAACCCACUAUUUCGGGCUUGUCGGUGCGGACCAUGAAUUUAACUAAUAUUCACAUAGACAAUUACUGUCCAAUAAAAUAUUAAUUUGAGUGUAAACAUUGCCCCCCAACCUCGAAGUCAUGAAUGUCAAGAAUGAUUGAAGAGGUUUAUGUACAUGUUGCUCCAAAGCCACUUGGCUCGGGUCAUACACAAAAUGAGUGUGAGUAAACAAGCCUCUGAAUAGGCUUUAAAACUCAAGCACCCAGCAACAAAGCAUUGUAGAGAAGCUGUUGUACGAUUCGCCCAAUACCAUAUUAAAUUGAUGAUCAUGAACUUAACAUAGCUAGGUACCUUGGACUUGAACUUAACAUGCACUUCUCUUGCUCUACUUAGAAUACAUGGUACAUUGCACAUACCUCGAGUGCAUGUAUCCCGAAUGAAUGUGUCUUGAACAGAUGUACCUUGAGUGGAUAUAUUUGAAAAAUAAAGAACCGUCUGACCUCGAAGGGACCCCGAAUGGAUGUACCUCGAAGGGAUGUACCUUGAGUAGACGUUCGCUUUGAAUGGAUUCAAAAUUGACCUUCGCUUGAGCUCUUGGCGAUGGCGAACUAUCUUUUUGAUAUUCAAAUCAUGGAGUGACAUUGGCCAUGUACUUCGCUGCCCCCCCCCCCCAAAUGCGAAUCAAUGAGAGUCAAACAAAAGGACCAUGUCGGCGAACGGCCGCAUAAUCUUGAAUUUUUUAGAGACCAUAGGUGUUGGCCUAAAUAAUGACCAAGCGUUUGAAGAAAGUCUAAAGUUUUAGAUAUUUGGAACACAUCUCUAUCCCAUAUGUGCCCCCUAGUUUUGAUGUUUGUUCGUCGAUAUUUGGGAAGAAUGAAGGACAUCAAAACUUUAGUAUGCCUCGCAGUGAAGGAGUGAGACGUUGUUGUAGUACCGUGCAUCAUUGAAAUUGGCAGACACCAAAAAAUGUCGUGGAUCAGCCUUGAGUAGAUUCCGGUAUAUGAAUAAAGGUACAAAAAACUUCUAUCGAUGUCCCCUAAUAAAGGAAAGCAUGUUGCUAGGUCAUGAAAACACAUUAAAAAAGCACAUUGCAAAUUCGCGUGUAUCCUAACUUGUCUGCAUUCAAACUGCCAUAACUCUCUCCAGGAAUGUCGGAAUGACGAACCGUAAAAUCCUCUGGAAAAUAGACAUCCAAGGCUUUCUGUUGAUAUAAGACUCGCCUGUUGGUUCUUUCUGGAUCAUUCCAGGCUAGCCCGCGAAGUUGACUGUCCAGUUGUGCCUGUUGCAAUUUUUCAGCAUUGUAACCUGGACUGAAAUUCCCCUUCGCUGGCAGUAACUCUAAGGCAAUGUGGAAUGCCUGUUGUCUUCAAGCCUCAGGGAUAGCCUUCUAAGUAAAGUUCAAGCCUUUUGUAGGUAAAAACGUUAUCUUGCAUUUCAGCAAAACGAAGAAUCUCUUUUUGUGUUUUUUACUAUUUGAUUAUUUUUUUUAUUUUCUUUUUUCAAUGCGAGAAAGAAAGAAAAUGGAAAGAAAACGGAAGUAAAACUGAAGUAAAAGCUAGGAGCGAAGUAAAGAAUGGAUCAUAGUAUGAUUAGUUACCCUUCGUAAGGCCAUGGGGAAGGCCACCAAUGCUUCACUCCAAGCCUCAACGCCGAUAUGUUCCCGGCAUGAGACUCUUGUUGUCGAGAACUUCCAAGUGUUGAGCAUAGAUGUUUUGCGUCAACAACUUGAAAAUUUGAAGAAAGUAGCUCGUAGGGACUGCCCUGUUGCCCCCCAAGCAUCUUUGUCAUUUGGCAAAACAUGAUCUUCGAUUGCAUCCUUAUGGGCAAAAUGGUGUAAAGAUUUGUCUUGUCACCAACCAUCAUGUCAUAAUGCAUGGUCUUAUCAGGUAUAGCCACGCAUUGAUUAUGGAAGAGGACCACUUGCUGAUCUCUAUUUACCAUAUCAAGAGCUUCACUGGGAUUGAACUCUUGUGGAAUAUGAUUAUGAUCAGACAAACGCACCAACAUAUAUUCUUCAUCAUAUUCAUCAUAAAUUGGCUCUGUGUCAAAAUCACAUGCAGAAUCAUCAAAGGACGGUAGCUCGACCUUCCUUGCAACCAUAGGCAUGCAUGGGACAUGUACGUACUUCGCACAUAAACCAAAGUCACCUCUUGGCUUCUGAACUUGCAUGUAAAAAUUCCAAUAGCAUUGGAUAAAGAAGCCACGUAUUGGCUUUGCAAGAACACAUGUUGGUUGAUAAUUAAGUUGGCCACUAUUUUGGCCAUACUUGAAAGAACGUCCAGAAGCUAAUUGACAUAGUAGGCUUUCACCUAUUCCUUCACCAAGACGUCCAACAACUUCAUGAAUUUGCUUCUCCAGGUUAAUUAAAGAAUGAAGGCGAGCUACACCUUGCCCCCUAUGCAUUUGACAUGUGUCCACAUAUAUGUCUCGCAUAGGAAAAUUGGCUCCUUGGUCACCUUUCAUGUUAAAUUGUGGUUCGCCAUCAGUGUUCGAAUCGAUAUCUUCUUCUAAGAUGGAUUGUUUUGUCCUAUCUUCAAGCUCUUUUUCCUGAGGAACACCGUUCGUCUUUGAGAUAGGAUGAUUUUCCAUAAUCUCAACAACCUUGACCUCAGGUUCUUCGUCAUUGAUUGACAAAAUAAUUUCUUCUUUGGAGGUAGGUUCGUCCAAAGGAAAAUCUUCGCCAUUAGAUUGGUUGCUAGGCAGUUCAAUCUUUUUGGCAAGGACAUGCUUGUCAACUAUAGGCUUUACAUAUUGGCGUUGGAAAGUCUUUUCGUUGUGUCGCUUUACGAGGAGCAACACUUGUUUCAUUCUUAUUUUUGCCAAUCGGUCUUUAAAGGCAGCCUGACGUCGUUGAAACUCUUCCUCGUAGGCCUUCCAUUUAGCCUUUCUGUGUUCUUCAGCAGCCUUCAAUUUUUCCAUGGACUCGGUCUCCAGUAUGGCCUCCUCUUUUUUCCUGGCAGCCAUUCGCUCAGCAUGUUGUUUGGCAUGAGCGGCCAUUUCCUCGACGUAUGCCUUGUUGUUGGCAGCUCUCCGUUCGGCAUAUUUUAUGUUGAUGGCUUCCCAUUCCUCACGCGAAUUGCGCCAAUCCAUUAUCGCAUUUUUGUUUCCGAUCUUUGAUUCCAAUGAAGGUGACGUCAGAGACUACCCUGGUCCCACCGGGCAUGCCAAUGUUUUGGCCACACCAGUAAGUCUGGGUAUGCAAAGUCUCUUUUAGUCGUUGCGAGCGUGCCACCGUGCGAACGCGGAAUGUAGUGGUUGUAGUAACGGGGUGCGCUUAAACUUUUGCUUCUAAUCAAGCGACUAAGGAUGGAGAGAGCACCAACUCCACCGCAGGGUUCUUCAUAUUCGCCUUGCGUAUUGGGCAAGGACUUAUAGUAGUUUGUUUAAGCGUCACAAUAUCGAUACUCGACGUGAGGUCGAGCAGAGCAUCAAUUGGAAAGGAAAGGAAAAAGACAAAACUCCGAGGAGCGUACAAGGAAAUUAAAGAGACAAAGCUCUGAGGAGCUUGAAAGGAAAAGGUUUGCUAAGACGUGAGGCUUUAGCGUCUAGAUUCGACUAGGUCGAUAGUUCUAUUGUAUUUUUGUUGAGUUGUUGAGUUGUUAAGUAUGUGUAGAGCGGAUCCUCGAACUCUUUUAUAUAGAGUUAUUUUAAGGCCACAGGUAUUGGCCCAAUUGGCCCAAAGUAUAUCAAAGACUUGUGGAAGUCUUCAACGUUAAUAUUGUAUCGUAGGCAGUUAGCCUCAUUUGCCUCUUGAUAUAACUCUGCUAGCUAGGUAGUGAGAUAGUGUUUGAAUACCUCGUGGAGACCUAAAGUGUCAAGACUCACCCGAAAUUUCAUUUUGAAACCCGAAGUAAAUCAUGCGGGGUCCAUCUCCAAGGAAAAUUUACUGAAAAUUCGGUAUAAUCUCCUUUGAAAAUAGACAACCCUAACCUGAAAAUACUUGCAAACACUUCUAAAAAUCCAACUCCAACCUUAUACUCCUAGAGCCUUCGUGCUCUCUGAAUUCACGACACCUCCCAAAUUAUUCACUAAUCUAAAUAAUUAAUCUCACAACCAAUAUUCAUAGGUUCAGAGCAACUCUAAUAGUGAAGAGGAGAAAUAAAAAUAUAUUAAUGAGCGAAAGCUACAUUAUUGACUAUGCCUCGUCUCUAUGUACGUCUGACCUCAACUAUGCUGACUUACAAACUGGGCAUUUAAAACCGAAGGGCCCAGGGGAUAAGCAUUUGAAAACGUUAGAGUGAGUGGACAAAAAGUAAGGUUAUGAGUAUCAAAUAAUUAAAUAAAACUUUCUGCUUUCCCAAUUUAAUUUCUGAAGAAAAACGGAUGCAUGCCUCAAGCGUUAAAACUUUUAACUCAACAACUGGCAAUUACUGAUAAUACGUGACUAGCCCCAUUAGUCUCCAAAACUUUAUAAAAUAUCGAGCCUCUCAAGCUCUAAUAAAAUAAGUAUGUAUUUACACACGUCCAUACUCCCUAUAUAAAUUUUAUAGAUUUAAAGAAAUUUAUAUAGGGCUACUACGCUCGUGUCUAACGCUCACGUCACACCAUAAUGCAGUUAUUCACUACGCUAUUAAGGUGGACAAACGGGUGUAUAUAUACGUGCACAUACCCCUUAUAUGAAUUAAAACACUCAUAUAUGGUUACUACGAUUGCGUCUCACGCUCACGUCACACCAUAAUGGCGACUAAUUGCUACACCAUUAAGGCGGAAAGACACGUAUGGCUAGCUAACAUUUAUAUACAUACUCUCCUCAUAAAUCUACACAUAUAUAUAUAUAUAACCACCGAAAAAUCCCAUUUUCGGUAACUCUCCAAAAUAAAGAAAAAUUGCCCAAUUAAAAAAACAUCACAUGCUCCAAUAAAAAGCAACUGUUCAACAAUAACCCAACGCAUGCAUAUUAUUUAAAACAAAAGUUCACUCACAGUAUUAGGCUUAAACUUCCCAAUAUAAUAACCGGAAUCGAUGCCCUCAAACAAAACCUUAACCUUCACGGAUUCUACGCGACUUGUCAGAAAUACUCACAAGAUUCCGGCGACUUGCCGAAAAUUAGCCAUUACCUCCCCGUAGGCUCCAAUUCUUCAAUCGAUCUCAAAGCUCUAGCCUAGCAGCUCCCCUGAUCGAAACUCAACCUGCAGAAACCUCCAAACACUAAUGCUGCCUCGGUCGCCAACUCCACCAAAUCAACACCACAUCACCUUAGUUCCUCUCAACCCAAAUGCAUCCGACCUCUACCUCAAUCCGAAUCGACCUGCAAUUCCUCCAAGGUCCAUCUUGGCAUCACACAAAGCAUAGAGGACCCAUCAAAACUCGAAGCACUCAUCGGAAACCAUCGAACGCAGAUCGCCGGAGCAUCGGCGUCCAAUGAACUCGCUGGAAAACGUUGGAAAUCGGUGAACACAGUCGAGCUACCCUUCGAUCGAUCUCCUCCGAAAUCGGGUUGCAUGUAAGUGUACGUGAUCUAUGGACUGGGUUUUGUAGAGGAUGAAGAGAGGAGUGAUUUGGUGGUGGUUUCACGGCAUGCAGCAGCCAAGAUCGACGACGCCACGCCGGAGAUGGAGGAGGCAGCCGGAGAGGGAGAGAGAGAAGUCUGGGCUCGGGUCAAACCGAGUGCAUGUGGGCUUUUCCUAAAGUCAACCCAUCUCAUUUCCCUUUAUACCCGAACCAACAGCAAAUAUCAAAACUCUAAUUGAUCAGACGGCCCCGAUUAAAAGUUAUAUUCUAAUUCCAGAAAAUUAAUUCUAAUAUCAAACCUUCGAUAAAUCGUAGAAAAUACCUCGAAACUUCAAAAAAUAAAUCUGAAGACACCGGUGAACUCGUGUCGACACAAACUACGACAUCGAGACCUUAACAAAGGAAUUUGACAUUUCAAGAAAAACUCGAAAAUAAAUUUAAACGCUAACUUACUAAGUUACCGAGCACAGUUAAAUUCUUCAGUAACUUGUAGAAUAUCCAGUAAAUAAAUAAAAUUGGGUACGGAGCGUUACAUAAAGACGUUCUAAGCUUAUCUUGCUGAAUGUGCAUACGUAUCAUGUAUACAUGAUUAAGGAAUAGAAUCAACCCCUUCUCAUACAAGCAACACGUGCACGUGUAGUCCCUCAAGCCAAGCAUGGAUAAUUGUUUCCUUCUCUAAUUGAGAUACUAUAGGCGGAGUCCGCAUCUUUUCUUCUUUUACGCGAACUACUAGUCUUCGCAUGCAAGCAAUCUCCUCGCCUAUAAACUCCUCUUUGCAUGCAACUGCAUUGUCUAGCUCGAAUGACUUUGUUGGUGGGCCAUCACUUGUAAACCCACUAUUUUGGGCUCGCCGGUGCGGACUAUGAAUUUAACUAAUAUUCACAUAGACAAUUAUUGUCCAGUAAAAUAUUAAUUUGGGUGUAAACAGGGAUUUUUCAUCUAUAUAUGUUUUUUCACUUCUAUAUAUGUUCUUUUAUUUUGUACUUUUGUUCAGAGAUGAAAUUCAAGUGAAUUGUAACAAAUCUGCUGGUGUUGGUAACUGAGGAUAUCGAGUUAUCUGUCAAUUUUAUGUAUGUUAGUUUGAACUUUGAUGCAAUCAAUGAUAUGAUUGUAUGUAGAUGCGAGGCAAACAAUUAAACUAUUAAUUAUUAAUUAGACUCGUAUCAUUGCAUUGGUUUUUGAUUAUUUAAACGAGACGUACUUAAUUGAGACCUGAAUGAUACGCAAAUGACCGUUAUUUCUUUUCCCGCGUCUUUGUUAAGUUUCUUUUCUAAUUAACAUCCUAUAUAUAGUUACGUGUCAAGUAUCUUUCAUACACCUAAUUGUGAAUUGUGAGCAGCUUGGCUGAGGAUUAAGAAGCAUAGUUCAGCACCAAUGUUCUUAUAUAUACCUACCUAGAGUAUAUUAUUAUACCAAAUUUAAUAUUGAUUUCACACAUAUUAUAUUAAUCUGAUCGAUAUCUUCUGUGAUUCAAGCAGAUAUCGAAGAAGAGCUCGAACAAUCUGGUGGGAUUGAAAGUCCAGUUCAGCCGGAUGUAAGUCGAUCGAGAUCAUCAGCUUCUUUUUCUUUCCUUCAAUAAUAUUGGUGUUUUCUGCCCAUGCAGUUAAAACACAUGCAUCAAUAUCUAGCUAGCUCUAAUCUUACUAAUUUGAAUGGUUAUUAACAUACAUUCCUCCACAAAAUUUUAGUCCUUCGGCGACUAUUACAGUUAUGCUGAAGAGAACAACAUGAAAAACGCUGCUGCUGCUACAUCAAGCACUCCGCAGCAAAAGACUAAUUAAGGCCAGCCAUGGUAGGAAGCGGAAGAUGACCGGAAAAGAGGACCCUGCUGCCCCAUCCAAGGCUUUGGCCUACAAAGAGCUUAAACGGGGUGACUAUUACUGGCCUAAUCCUACUAAGAGCAAAUGCACCUAUUUUAGGUGGGUUGGACCAAUCCUUAACCCGGGCUAAUCCACUAUUCAUCCAAAUCAGUCCUUGAUCUUUGGUUCGACGAUACAACAACGAGACCAAUCUGAGGACCAAUUACUAUUCACUUUUUAUAAAAAUAUGUUUUAUUGAUAAACAAUUUUUGUUUUUUACUUUAUUAUUGAAUUCAAUAAUUAUUUAUUUAUAAACAAGAUGCUCAUGUAAUAUAUAGAAAGAAAUUAAAACUACAAUUAUUUAUAUAAGAUAUGAAUGACCAAUGUGGAAAGGACACGUGUUCAUAUCAAUAUCGUUAUCUUUCAUAAAUAUCUAAAAUUUCCGAUAAAGUUAUACCAAUAAACAGACGACACGUGUCCUUUUUAGAUAUCGUUAUCUUUAGAAAUAAUUGAGAUGAUUUCGGAUAGGAUUUCAAGCAAAUCACGACAUGCCACGUGUGUAGACGAUAAUAGUUUGUCUCCCAAAAAUGUCAAUAAAUAAGCUUUAAACUCAUUCUACAUUCACACAUUCAUCUCAUUCAUCUCUUCCUUCUAAACUCAGAUAUUAUCAUCUAUUUCACUUCUCACAUUUUUCAUGGAUCGUAUUAGAAAUUAUUUGAGAGAGAGAGAGAUGAAGAAGAUGAAGAGCACAUUAUGCAGAUUCGGUCCAACAAUGUUCAAGCCGCUGCAUUGGUUGCCCAGUAUCACCAUAUGCAGAUGCAGACUCCUCAAGGUCGUGGUUCACGUCCUGGUCGUGCCCCUAACGUCGAAAGACAUAGGCAAUCAAGAGGGGCUAACAUGAUGGAGGAUUAUUUUGUCGAGCGUCCAGUGUAUAGCAACACAAUUUUUCGUCAGCGCUAUCGAAUGCAAAAACCAGUAUUCAAUCGCAUCAUGGCGGACCUUUGCAAUUUCGACGAUUUUUGGAAGCAAAAACCAGAUGCCACAGGAAAGCUAAGAUUGCUCCCAGAACAAAAAAUGACAGGUGCGUUACGAAUGCUCGCAUAUGGUGCAGGGGCUGAUCAAUGUGAUGAAGUCACCAGGAUGGGAGCAUCAACUGCUUUGAAAUGCCUCAAGAAAUUUUUUGCACAAGUGGAGUAUUUGUACGGGGGUUGGUAUCUUCGAGCUCCUAAUGUCGCAGAUCUGCAAAGGCUUCUACAUAAAGGACAACAACGUGGUUUUCUCGGCAUGAUUGGGAGCAUCGAUUGCAUGCAUUGGAAGUGGAAAAACUGUCCAAAGGGGUGGUCCGGAGCUUUCUCAGGCCGUAAAGGGUACCCUACUGUUAUUCUUGAAGCUAUAGCAUCCUACGACACACAUGUAUGGCAUGCCUUCUUCGGUACCCCAGGAGCUCAAAAUGACCUUAACGUUCUCGGAGCAUCCAACGUGUUUGCAAGGGUUAUUAACGGAAGUGCUCCGGAGGUUGCAUAUAAGGUAAAUGAUAGUACAUACUCUAUACCAUACUACCUUGCUGAUGGAAUAUACCCAAGGUGGCAGACAUUUGUCAAAGCAAUAUCCAAACCCAAAGAUGCCAAUGAGACACACUUUACCAAAAUGCAGGAGUCUUAUCGUAAGGAUGUUGAGCGGUGUUUUGGUAUUCUUCAAGCUCGAUGGGCCAUACUCCGUCACGGUGCUAACUUGUUCAAACUAGAAGACCUUCGUACUAUCAUGGUAAGUUGCAUCAUUCUUCAUAACAUGAUUGUGGAAGAUGAGUUUGUCGAAGAAGAAUUUGAGGAGUCUUGUGAAGAGGAUAACUUGCAUCCAUUGUUGGCUAGCGUUUAUGAACGACCGGUGGAUCGGGAAGGUAAUGUUAUCCGCCAUGAACCUGUUUUGAGGGCUGGAGAAACCCUACCAGCAUUCUUAGAUGCUAACUUCCAAUUACGUUCUGCUUACCUCCAUAAGGCAUUGCAAGAUGAUUUGGUGAUUCAUCUUAGCAAAUGAUUUUCAUAAUCAUUUGAUAAAGCAAUGCUCUCCUUAAUUUGUCAUUUUAAUUUCACUCGAAUAAUGUUGUAUGUGUGUUUUGUUUAUUUUACUUUAAAAAUAUUGUACGUGUGCUUUGUUUGUUUCCUUUCAAUAAAAGAAAAUUAAUUCACUAUUAUUAGUUCAUAACGAAUGAUUGACCUUUAUUUCAUUAAAUAGAAAAAUGCAUAAUACAAUCAACUUAACAAUUAAAACACAACACUCUAUUGUGGGGAUUGUGGUUCCUCAAAAAGAGGCCUAUAGCAAUCCGCAUUAGCAUUAGGAUCGGUUUUCCUCCUAAUGUCCCGCUUCAAUUUUUUGAACCAAUCUUGUGAACCCGGGGAAAUAUCACUAUUCCGCAUGGCCAUUAUCCUUGCAUCCUCUUUUGCCUCUUCAAAUGCCAUCAUUCUUGCACUUUCGACACGACGGUCCUCUUCUCUUUUUCUAAGAAUCUCAUUGGAAAUUUUGGUGCUCUCAUUCAUGGCUAGUAGGGCUUGAACCAUGGAUUCACCCACAUCUUCUUUCUUUUUUCCUUUCCUUCUUGCUUCUUUGGCGGCCUUUUGUCCCAUUGGCCUUCCGACGGAGCUAGGGGGAGUCUCCAAAACAAUUUCUUCAUCAUCCAAAUUAAUUGGUGAUUCAGUUUGGGGACCGCUAGCCGUGGAGUAAACAAAGGGGUUAACUUGAGGCGUUGGUGCAUCUCUAAAAUAAGGGUGAUCCUUCACCGCCUCUCAACACUCCUUAUGCUCGAAUUGCUUUUUAAUCACCCUCAUAUACUCUAGGUUAAUUUGAUGCUCCUAAUUAAAAAAAACCAACAAUAAUAAAACUUAAUAACCAUAUUAAUUUGUCGAAAUAUAUUUAAGUGGAUNNNNNNNNNNNNNNNNNNNNNNNNNNNNNNNNNNNNNNNNNNNNNNNNNNNNNNNNNNNNNNNNNNNNNNNNNNNNNNNNNNNNNNNNNNNNNNNNNNGGUAACCGUCGCCCAUGAUUCGCACAAUUGUAACUUCCUCCUCGGGUGGUCCAAGAACUACCCACCUCUCCCAUUUGAUGAAUGAAAAAUGAAAAAGAAGAAGAGAAGGAAGAGAUUUUUUUUUUUAUGAAGGAAGAGAUAUGAUAGGUAAAGAGUGUGAAAUGUGAAGAAGAGUAGUAAGGUAUUUAUAGAAAAAAUUUGUUGAUUUUUUUUUUUAAAUUUCAGUUUUGUCUGCAUAAUGGAAUAAAUCCGUUGGGAUGGAUUUGGAGCCAUCAGAUCUCAAUCCUACAGCCCUUAACAUUUGCCCGUUAUUCUUUAUGAAUUUGUUUUUUUCUGUUCAAAAAAUGUCGUUGGUACUUAAUUUGGUCCGUCAGAUCUUGAUCUGAACGACCCAAAUUAAAGACCCGUUGGGGAAAAGCUGACUGCCCAUGUGCAUGAUUUCUUCCUCCAUGUGCAAGUUGGUGUCAGUGGGCCCGUUCAUAAAUCAGUCCAGAGUGAGACCUGGGUUGAGAAUUAACCCAGACCACAAUCCAGCUUAGUAGGUCCCCCGUGGGGCCAGCAAUCAACCCAGAUCAGUUUCUCUCCGCUGGAAGCUGUUUUUUACGCACUCCUGGUCCAACCCUUCCGAUUAGUCUUCUGCUGCAUCUGCUCUAAAGAUCGUACUCCUCGGAGGAAAUGCCGCAAGACCCGCAAGUACAACGUUGUGUACUACUGUAUCAACUAAGUACUGGCAAGCACAAGCUGCUAUGCCCCAAAUCUAAAUAAGGCCUUACUUGGCCAGAACUCUUUUCAAGAACCUUAUUAAAUAAAAUCUUUGUUAGCUAUAUAUGUUUCGUCUGUGUUUGUUUUGUGUGGGAAUAAAUAUAGCUAUCUUUGUCCUUGUUGGAGGGUGAUAGCCAGUGGCUUCAAUGUCGAUUGGGACGAUUGGCAAAAUGCCUAUAUAUGUCCACGGAGUUGUAACAACAAUAUUUCACUAUAAUGCCUAUGUACCUGCUAAAGAGAUGCUUAAUUUUGUUAAGUGUAGCACCCUUGAUCGAAGGAAACACCCCUUGGUUUUAAAUGACGCGCAAACUUACUCUUUUGUUUUUUUCGAGUUUACCGGCUAAUAUUCAAAUUUUAAAAUAAACCUAGAACGAAAAAUCAACAUGAGCUGAAUCUUUCUAUUUUCACAACAAAUCAAAGGCGAUCAGAGCUAGUACAAACUGUACAAUCCUCUUGAGGAAAAAAAAUGGUGGAGAUAUCGUGCAUGAGGUACGCGAAUUUAUUAUAUUUAUUUUAAGUGCAUGCAUUCGUAUCUUUAUUUGUGCAUGGUUAAGUUAACAAGCUAAAAGUAUGGUCUUCGUGUAUAGCAACAAAUCAAGUGAUCGAGUUGUGUGAUCGAGAGUGUGAAUAGCUAUAUCUUAGGGUACAAGAGGUAUCAGAUAUGAUUAAACUACGAAUCUUGUACAUGUAUAAAUCUCUCAUUAGCUAAGAUAAGAACUUGGAAACUCUUCAAGUUCGUAGGUAAGAAUUUUGGUCGAAUCUCAUGAAAUUUUAUGUCUUUACGGGCUUAUUCACAUGUUUAUUUUUAUCAUUUCAUCUCUUGUUUUAGUACGUAAUUUCAUAGUGGAGAUUAAUUUCCUAACAAUUACCCCAAAAUUUUAAAGACAUAGUGCUAGCUAACAGCCAACUAAAUAUUCCAGCUUACAUGGAGAGUGAUUAGCCGUUACAUUUCUGCUGCUCAUACACGUUUUAAGUAUUGCAGGGUGUGGAUUUCCUAUAUACAUACCAUAAACACAUAUACCACCUCAUUUGCCUAAAUCCAGAUCUGACUCGAUCUGAACGCCUGAAAGCUCAUUUUGUUUAGAGUUGUCAUUUGAAGAACAAAUCAACAUGUUGAGAACAAAUCAACAUGAGUAACAGUACUGCUAAUCCUGAAGAACUUGUGAACACGAAAGGUAUAAUCUUCAUCAGACACCAAGCUAUCUGAACGAUAUCUAUCUAUUACAUAUCAAUGAAAAUAUACUUUUUGCCAAAGAAACAUACUGUAUCAAUCAAUUGAAUGAAAUUAGUACGUCCUGGGUCACCAAUCAUAUCACCAUAUAUUUUGCUUAAAUAUUGAUUCUGUUGGUAUGAACUUUGGUUGGCAUUCCUAUAUGACUAUAUCAAAACUAUAAUACGUGCUAAGUGGUUAAGGCUAUUACUUAUGACAUCUUUGAUAAUAGAUCACAUGAUUCUGUGUCAUUAUUAAUUGAGAAAUUGUUUCAUAAUCAUAUCAAGCUAAUAUAUUGCAGAAGAUGUGAAUCCUAAGUCUUUAGGAUUUUCAUGUUGAUUAUAUGAUUAAUUGAUAUUUAGUUGAAAGGAAAGAAUCCUAUUUUGAUUAGGUUCUAUGAUGUUUGGUUUAUCAUAUCGUAUUAAUGCAGGGCAAUAAGAUCUUAUGUCAUUGAUCUUAAUUGUGAUAUGCAUACAUGCAUAUACAUGUGUUCUUAAUAUAACUCUUCCAUAUGCUUGAUUGUUAGAUAUUAUAAUUGGAAUGAGUUAUUUGCAGGUGAUGUUUCCGUGGGACUAAUUGAGUCCUAACUUGGUUAGGAUCACAAUAUGUGAUAUGAUUGUGGAAUCAAAUAAAGGAAAGAAGAUCUAUUUUGAAUAGGUCUCCUAUGCUAGCCGUGUGAAGGAAAGAAAGAAAUCCUAUUUUAUAUAGGAUAUUCUUUUUUGGUUUAAAUAGCUAAAUAUCUUGUUAUUAUUACAAGGUUUUUAACUCUGAUGUAAAUUCCUUCUUGAGACAGGGAUUAGGGUUGCUGGCGUGAGGUUCUUGUUGCUGUAUAAAAGGGACGUAUGACAAAUGAAAGGGGUUGGUCUCUGCACGCUUGGCGUCUAAGAGAAAAUUGUUUUUAUUCCGCUGCUCAUCUAAAUAUACAAGUUCAAAUGUUCCUUGUUGAGUUGGACUUGUUGUAGUUGUGAUUGUGAUUCUCUUGUGUGUUGAGAGAAGUUCAUUGAAGAAGCAAGGAGAAGACGUUCUGCCUAGAGAUAGGGAUUUGUAAUAGUAUAGGGUUUACAAAGUGGUUCUAAGACUCUACACAAAUUCAUCUAGUUGAGUUCGUUUUCUGAGCUUGUGCUCCGCUGUGAUUUUUCCUCUAUUUUGAGGUUUUUACACAGCGUCAAAAAUCUGGUAUUCUGUGUUAAUUUUCUGUCAGUUCUUCGAGGAUUGAAACGGUCUCUGCAUCACGUUUCAGUACCUUCAGAUUCUAAGUAUCUUUUAUCGAUCUCACCUGUGAAAAUAUGCAGAAACUGCUCAUGAUCAGCAACAGGCCAAGUCGGCAAAGAAGCAAGUGAGGCUUAACUCUUAAGUCCUAUUAAAUUAAUAAUUGAAGCUUAAUUUAAAGGCCAUGUUUGUAUUAAUUUAGUUUGUCUAUGCAAUUUCCCUUUUUCUCUUAAAUAGUAGUACUGCUGGGAUUUCAUUUCAAUUAAUUUGUUUGUGUAGGUUGUGCUGAACAAUAGAUCACAACUGAAGAAUCUAUGUGAGGCAUAUAAAUUGAAGCAACCUGUUUAUGAGUGCUGUAAAGAGGAAGGGCCGUCUCACCUGAGGAUGUAAAUUCAUCAUAUCAACAAAUUUACCGGUGUUUUUGUUAGCUAGCUGCUAGCAGAUAGCUAGUGAACUAACCAAUAUCAUAUAUCUAAUUGAUUAAACCUCUCAGGUUCACCUUCAAGGCUUCAAGGUCGAUAUGGAGACAAAAAAGGAACCCUCAGAGCCAAACACAGAAGUGGAAUGCUUUAGUGCACCGCAUUCGACAAAGAAAGCUGCAGCAGAGCACGCCGCAGAAGGAGCAUUGUGGUACUUGGGCAAGCUUGGUUAUUAUUAGUUCAGAUAGGGGUGAAAUAAGCUAUAUACUGGAACUUCGCGCGGCGCUGAUCUUUCGUAUGAUUUCUUUCAGUUCUGCUAUUGAGAUGCAUUAGAAUAAUUUGUGAUUAACCGGUUUGGAUCAAGUAUUCUCAUUCGAUCUUCUUUCUGGAAAGAUAUUGAGAUAAAGUAAAGUAAUUAAGAAUGUUCUGUUAUUUGAGUUGUUGAAAACAAAAGAUGAAGAAGUGAAGUUGGUAAGUGAAUUGAACCCGUCAUAUUUUCUGUGACUACUAUUUUCUUUAAUUUGUAACAUCAACUGAUAUUUAAAGCUAAUUUCAAAAUCCAAAUACAUGUGUGAUGCCAACGGACAUGGCGGGGAUGGGUUUUCCUCAAUAUUGUUACUUAAUCCGAAAAAUUUAUUGUCUCCAUCUUCGCACAUUAUGCUUAUUUUUAAGGAUGUGGAAGUUUCCAUCAAUGGAGUUCCGCAUUUUAUUGUUCUUAAUGUGAUUUAAAUAUUCAUCGACAUAUUUCUAGUCAUUGUAUUAAUUGCACUCAAUUAUAUUGUACUACAUGUCUACAACUCUACAUUACACUAAACUAUCAAUAAAGACGUAUUGUUUUUCCGACGUUUAAAAAACCUUUUGCUCUUCCACUUUUUUUUUUAAAGAGAAACCAUAACUAACUUAUAUCUUUGGUGACGACAAUGCUUUGUAUCACCCCGCCCUAAAUAUCCAUACCCGACCUUAGGAGGAAUCUCUGUACGUCAACGGCCUAUGCCUUUGCUUCUGAAAGCAUCAAAAUGACAAUGGGGAAUGGAGGAACCAGGAGGACAUCUCAACUUUCUCCUCCCCCUCCCCCUGAUUUAUUUGAAGAUAGAAAACUUGGCGAGAGGAAUAUCUAAGUGGCUCUUCUUCAUCCCAAAAAUAAAAAAGAAAAGAAAUGGUUGCUGGUUAUGGAUAUUGGGCCAACCGGGUUCGCGGGGCGGGUCAUUAAUACGGGCGGGUUCAAACCUCUUUAGGGUCCAUCUGCUGCGCACUUGCUUCCCUUUCUUCAUCUUCCAUGGUCUCUCUCUGUUCGAACUGAUUACGACCCUAAACUCUUUGACUCGGUCCCGAGUCAACUCACCCGGCCCGAGUUAACAAUGGACACGCACUCUUCUCACCUCGCCGUGUCCAACCGUUCCCGGAGCUCACAGUCCCCUUCGCCGUCCCACUCGGCCUCCGCCUCCGCCACCUCCUCCAUCCACAAGCGCAAGCUCGCGUCUGAGGACCACGCGCCUCCCUUCCCUCCCUCCUCCUUCUCCGCAGACACUCGCGACGGCGCCCUCACCUCCAACGACGACCUCGAGAGCAUCUCCGCCCGCUGCGGCGGCGCCGACUCCGACUCCGACGAUGAGUCCGAGGCCCUGGGCGACGACGACGAGGACUUCGACCACGACUCCUCCAUGCGAAACUUCACCGCGGCGCGCCUCGACAACAGCGGCGGUUCCGCCGCGGCCUCGGCGCGCAAUUCGAAGCUCAAGACGGAGAAUUUGACCGUUAAGAUUGAGAAUUCGGAUGGUGGAGUUAAGGACGGCGGCGGGAAUGCCGGGACCGGCGCGGUGGGGCCUACUUCGUCGGUGCCGGGAAUAAUGGUGAAGGAGGACGCAACUAAAAUAUUCACAGAGAAUAUACAAACCAGUGGAGCUUAUAGCGCUAGAGAAGAGCUAUUGAAAAGAGAGGUACACAUUGUGUUUAUGUGAAAUUGAGCAUUAUGGAUUAGUGUGUAAUUUGCUUGUUAUAUGAAGUUGUAUUGUUGUAUGUGACCAAUUUUAGGAGGAAGCGGGGAGGCUCAAGUUUGCAACGCUUUCGAAUGAUGGUGUAGAUGAGCAUAUGAUCUGGUAUUUGUCUCCGAUCAACUUUGGUUAAUAACAUGGAACGGAAUCAGUGGAAGCUAGAGCUAGUUUUUAUGUGAAUUAUGUGCUGGUUUGGAGUUUAAUCUAUGCCUAUACUUUUGGUUAUCUCAGGUUGGUAGGAUUGAAGAACAUAUUUGCCAGGCAACUACCAAACAUGCCCAAGGAGUACAUUGUUCGACUGGUUAUGGAUAGGUAAUGCGACUAGCUCAAUAGCUCAUGCUAUCUAUCUGUAGUUGAUUUUAAUAUAUCCUCUAAAUUUGUUUCUGGUCUUCACAUUCGGAUGACAGGAGCCAUAAGUCGGUUAUGGUUAUCAGACGUAAUCAUGUUGUUGGUGGCAUAACUUAUCGACCAUAUGUCAGGUAAAGUUUAUACCUUUUUCUCCAUCUACACAUCCUUACACACAACUUUAAGGUUCUAAUAUUUGCACUGUAUACUCGAAUGAAAUCUCAAUCUAUAUAAGAAGGACUACUAGAUCAAUUUUGUAAAAUCAUUCACUACAUUUCCGGGUUUUAUUCUGUUGUCAGAACUACCACUGUAUUGUUAUUUCAUAAUCCCAUUUUCAUUUUGGCACCCUUAAGCAAUCUCUUUAGUAUCUUUCUUCCUUGAAUUGUCUGUAGCAUUUUAAAACUCUUUUCACUGUCUGUGCCUCUGAAACUUCCAGAAACUCUUUGAUCAUAUCUGUUGAUCUAUUAUUAGAUACUUAAAUACUUAGCAGUUUAGUUGGGGUUCAUAUGCCUGAAGAGCUUGAACAUGUAAUGAUUAGGCACUUCGAAGUUGGUUCACCCCCAUGUAGUGAACUUUGCCAAACUCUGUCUAUUCAUUGUUGUUCCUGUAAAACUUCCAGGAACUUUUAGUAAUAUCUAUGAUAAGAUAGUGGUACUAUACAGUCGGUGCUGGUAGUCUUAGAGACCCAAGAGAUUGCACAUGUAAUAAAUCAUCAAGCCAUUGUGCAGUAUUAACAAAUGUUCUUUUAAUCUUUGAUCUAUCGUAGCUUCUGUAUCUUUGUAUAUGAAAGGGGAAUAAAGUUAUGGUAAUUUAGAUAAUUCAUGCAUUACUGUUAUUGUUUCAUCUACGAGCUACCACAGUCCCCCAUUUUCCAACACUCUGCUUUUGGAUUACAGCCAAAGGUUCGGAGAGAUAGCUUUUUGCGCAAUCACAGCUGAUGAACAAGUAAAAGGUUAUGGCACCAGACUUAUGAAUCACUUAAAACAGCAUGCACGGGAUGUUGAUGGGCUAACCCAUUUCCUGACAUAUGCUGACAAUAAUGCUGUUGGCUAUUUUAUUAAACAGGUCUCUUUAUCUAUUCUUGAAUCUUCUUGAAGGAUUUAUACUGAUUGCUUCAGCAUAAACUAAUAGUGGCAAAACUAUAUGUGCUUUAGAAAUUUUGGGUCUGAAGUCUCAGCUUUUGAAGUACUUUAUUCGAAUCUCUUUCUUUUUGUGCUCCUUAUUGAUGGACUGAAAUCUUAUUCAUUUACUUGCAGGGUUUUACGAAAGAGAUCUACUUGGAGAAGGACAGAUGGCAUGGGUAUGUUAUAUGCAUCACCUUAAUUGUAUGAAGACUAUCAUAUUCUGUUUUCAGAUUUAGGAGUUUGUGCCUAACCUGUCACUGAUAAAACGAAUAAAGAAACUUGUUUUGGUGUCAAUUUGGCGAAGGGACCUAGCAUUGGUACAACUGCUGCUUUAUUUUCUGUACAUUUAGUUACCAUUUUUAAGUCAAAUGUAUCCCAAGAAAAAUAGGAAAUAUAAGAUAAAAAAUGAGUGUGUGAGCUACUUGUCCUUCAUUAGUAAUGUGUUUCUAGAUGAUUAUAUGUUACUGCGUCGGAGAAUCUUUUUAUAUCAAUGUCCACAUUUUUUUAUGGUUUGCAGCUAUAUAAAGGAUUAUGAUGGAGGAAUCCUAAUGGAAUGCAAAAUAGACCCAAAACUUCCAUAUACUGAUUUAUCAACUAUGAUUCGUCGUCAAAGGCAGGUAAUAAUCAAUUUGUUUGCUUAUAGAGAUGUUUAUAAUCAAUGUUUAAAUGUGUUUCCAUCUUAAAGUAGUGAUGGUGGAUACCAAAGCAUGUAUACUGCACCAACAUGGAUUUACUCUAACCUGGACUUCUGCAUGUUUUAUCAUAUUGUAGGCAAUUGAUGAAAAGAUAAGAGAGCUCUCAAAUUGUCAUAUUGUUUAUCCUGGCAUUGAUUUCCAAAAGGUAUAUCCUGAAACUUAUCUAUACCUAUGUUAAUCGAUUGCAACAGUUUUUCAUAUAUGAACAAGUAACCGGUUGAGUAUUGAACAUGCUACUGACCGCUACUGAGAAUCUGCUGCAUGGCACUUUUUUGCUGUGCCUUUCUUUGUUUCUUGAAACUUUAUUUCUGAACUUGAAUUUAUAUAUAUUCAGAAAGAAGCUGGUAUUCCUAAAAAGCUCAUCAAGGUCGAGGACAUCCCUGGCUUAAGUAAGUAAUUUUGCUUAACAAAGCAUUCCAUUAUGUACUUCUUGGAUCAGUAGGUCUGUAGGUGUAUCUCUUUUGAUUCUUUUCCAAAACAACCUUUAGACUGAUUUUCAGGUUUGAAUGCAGCCUUAAAUGUUGAACUUCAAAAUAAUUAUCUUUAUUUAUUUUUUAUGUAUGUCUAGACUAGUUGAAAGUUAAAUAUUUACAAUCAUAACGAUUUGUUUGAAAACAAGAAAAUUUUGUUUUACUAUUACAGUUUAAAGUACUUAAUAGUAUUGUAUAAACUAGGCUACUGGACAUAUUUUAGGAGUCUAACAUAUUACAAUUUCAGGAGUCUAACAUAUUACACCAACUAUGAGGUUUGGGCUUUUUUACAUUAGUGUAAGUAAGCAUUGGAAUGAAGUUGGGACUAGAUGCACAGUAUGUACCACCUGAAAGUUAGCUUCUAAUAAGCAAGAGUACUUUUAACUAUCUUAUAAAGUAGGAUGCAGAACACUUGAAACUUGUAGAUUGCAGAACACUUGAAAUUGUAGAAGACUUGGAACUUAGACUAGUCAUAUAGGACUUUGGUGGAGUAUAGAUAUGCUACCUACAGUCAAUCACGAGAGAAGCACUAAUAUCAUGAAAGUAUCUUUGUUUAUACCCUAAGGAACUCAUCAACUGAGAUGCUAGUUUAGUUUGUGUUUGUGAUGCUGGAGUGCUAAUUUGAAGUUUAUGAUCAUUCUGAUAAUAGGGGAGGCCGGGUGGACCCCUGAUCAAUGGGGCCAUUCACGUUUUGGAGCAUUGACAGCUUCCACAGAGAAUGCCAAAAAGCAUUUGACUGCUUUCAUGCGUGCACUUCUAAAGGUCAUUUUUUUAGUUCUUCUUUCUUAAGUUCAAAUUUGAUUUUAUCUCAAUCUUAUUAGAUAAUUCCAUUUGACCUAGUAUAUUUUGCAACCCAUAUCAAGCUAUGAAUACACUGCUGGAACCUAAGGAAUAAUGGGAAGCUGGACUUUCAAAAGAAAUUUGCAUCUGUGUGUCUCUCUUUUUUUUACCUGCAUGGAUGUUGCAAAGCUUUUCUCACCUGCAUGCCUCUUAAGUUAAUAUAUUAUUCAAAUCAUUUGUUGACUUUUCCUUAAAUUAAAUAGAAUUAAAUUCAGUUUACCCCACUGUGGUUUAGAGGUGAAUUCAUGUUAGUCCUUAAACUUUCAAUUUCAUCAGAUUACCCCCCGAGCUCUUGUUUUUCUGUCUGCCGUCUCCUAUUACUCAUGCUCCGUCCAAUUGGCUCCGUCCAAUUGGGACGUUGAAAUUUGAUGACGUGUGAUGACAUUUUGGGGGUUGAGAAGCUAAAUUAUCAGAAAAACAAGAGCUCGGGGGGUAAUCUGAUGAAAUUGAAAGUUUAGGGACUAACAUGAAUUCACCUCUAAACCACAAUGGGGUAAACUAAAUUUAAUUCAAUUAAAUAAGAAAUGUAUACCCUUUACAAAAAAGAAUGUAUACAAAGAUGUCAUAUUAAGCUAUCAUCUUAGUGUCCCCUAAAGGAACCAGGGGUAGGAUAUGACAUAAUGCAUAACAGGCUUUGAGGUUUCUUGAUAGUUUUCCCCUUAAUGAAUACAAAGAAAGGUAUUUAGAAUUAUUGUAAUUACUUCACACGUAUUUCUGUGAGUUCAAAAUCUAUGUAGAUGAACAUGACAAUUUUUUGUUUUCUUAUUGUCAACACUUCGUAGAUUCUGACCAAAUAACAUUUUAUUUAAGCAGUCUAUGCAUGACCAUGUUGAUGCGUGGCCAUUCAAGGAACCAGUCGAUGCACGUGAUGUUCCUGAUUAUUAUGACAUUAUCAAAGAUCCUAUGGGUAAGGAUUUUAUUUUUGUUUCAAUCUAUGCGACAGAAUGGUUUUUAUAUCAUGGCCACCAACUUUAGUUUGGUCCUGUAUGGAAUUGUUCCAAAGUGUUUUCAUUGGAACAUGUAACGUUCCAUUUGACUCUGAUGAUGUGGUUUGGGUUGUGGGCUUGUGGCAUAGUUUGGCUUUUACAUUUUGAGUUAAAAGCUUUCACAGACUUAAUUCAUUCGAAAAACCAUGGUAAGGGGAUAGAUUUUUAGUCCUAGUUUUGUUUAGCAUAAUUAAUUAAAUUUUGCAUUAUUUCUCAACUUUGUGUUGUCGGAUAUUCAAUAUGAUGCAGAUCUAAAGACAAUGUCAAAGAGGGUAGAGUCAGAGCAGUAUUAUGUAACAUUUGAGAUGUUUGUUGCGGAUGCCAAGAGGAUGUUCGCAAAUGCAUGCACUUAUAAUUCUCCUGAUACUAUUUAUUACAAGUGUGCAAGAAGGCAUGGUGUUUGUAUCCCUUGUCAUUUUGAUCGUUAUCUAUCAUGAAUUAUAAUUUCAAUCGAGUUAUCUCUUCUUGCAGGCUGGCAUCUCACUUUGAAAGCAAAGUGCAAUCAGGUCUCCAAGCUGGUGCCAAAAUACAGUAGUCAAUUUAAUGAACAUAGUACCAUUCGUAUCAUUAUUUUCAGUUCAUGUAAUAAUGUUUUCUUGUUUCUUUCAAAUGUAAGACUUUUAAGACCAUUAAGAAAAAAGAAAUCUUUUUCCGAAGUCCUCUAUCGUGAACAGAAUCAUCAUUGUGAAUGAAUUGUGUAAGCUUACAACGUGCGCAUCCCAAUACCUCCGCGAUCAGAUGGGUUCAACUAGUUGCUUUGGAAGGUUUACUUCCGCAGUACUGGAGGUCUCAAUCCCAAAUAGGAAAGUAGAAAUUCAAAUUCAUUAAUAAAGUACUCCCAUGUUUUAAACAUCCAAUCAAGCUUUUUAUCCCCAGCAGUAAAAUCAGGAGGGAUAAAAAAGGCACUACAAUACUACAUUCAGUUCUACUUAUUCUUGGGUACUUGAUGGGGAAUCUGAGGGUUCCAACCCGGCAAUGCUUCACACGGAUUUGCUCCUGGCAGGAGUUGCUGCUGGUGCAUGUGAUCUAUGCUAGCUGUGUGCUGAACUGAAGGUACUUCAGUUGUGUUGCUGCCCCUCUGUUGGUUUCCAACCAGAGGAAUUGAGUGGUUUCCAGGGAAGGUGGUAUCUAAUCUCUGAUGAUGUGGUGGAGUGUUGAUAUUAGGAGCCACUGGAUGAAAGAGAUGAUUGGAGGUUGGUUGCAUCGGCACAGAAGAAUUGGCGGAUGCAUCCAUUGGAUUGCCUAUUGAUGCCAUGCUUGCUCUAGGUACUACAUUAGACAUGGCUAGAAGAAGUGGGUUGAUCCCUGUCUUCCUCUUAACCGAUUCUUCUGCCAUUUUCACCUGAUAUUUUCAGAGAAUGUAAGAGUGUUAACCAGUAUGAAAAAUAAAAAUCAACAAUAUAUUGACCAGGGAAAAGCAGGCACACAAGUAUAUGUACCUUUGCUCUUAAUGUCUCAAUAUUGGCUUCUAAUAUUCGUCUGUCAACAACUGAAUUAUCAUAUUUGUGAUUCACGUCAGUGAGUUGCUUUAAGAGUGCAGAGUUUUCAACUCUUAGUUGGCCAGCCUAUAUGAAACCAAACAUACAACUCCAUAAUGGUCUCUACUAACAAUAACUACUAUUGGAAAGAUGAAGAAGAGAGCAUGAUUUUACUAUUACAAAUCAAAACAAGGAGCAGCACCUGGGUCUCAAGAUCAGUCAUUUGUGCUUGUUUUCUUCUUCUAGAGCGUCUAGCUGACUCUCGAUUCGACAGCAUCCUGAGCACCAUCAACAUGUCAAUUGAUAAAGGGCUAUGUUUUUAUAUUUACCAAAUAUGGUAUUAACUCGCUUAUGGGGAGAGUAGUAUCUGUUGAAUUCCUGAUAUCAGAGUUGACAAUUUUUACAACAAACCUGUUGUCAAACAAAUUCAUCAGGGGGAAAUUCAUGUAACAGACACCAUUCCCUCAUUCCAAAUCUACUCAUUUUGCUUCAAAACAAAACUGAUUCCCAAGUGAGGCACAUGUUUGACCACCAUCCAGGCAUUCAAUUUGUUUUGUCCGUAACAUUCAAGCACACCUAAACAACCCUAAACACCAAGUCUUACUACUUACUAACCAAAGACAGGUGUACAUGACAUAAUACAACUAAAACGACAUAAAAACAAAAUGAAGUGACUCACCUCCUUGCGCGCUUCACAUCAGCAGGAUCCAUAUUCUCAGUAAUUUCAAUGUCCCCUUCCAGGUCAUCAUCAUCCGAGUCAUCUUUCGAUGAUCCACUAGUUGUUUGAGCUUUCUUCUGAAUAGCAGGUAAUGCUGGAAUGCCAAGCGGGCUAGUAUCAGCCUCACUUUGCGGCAAACCAGCACCUAGCACAUUCCAAAUUAAAAUGAUUUAGACACUAACAUUACUCAUUUUCUGAAAGUAUUAAGCAUAAACCAAUAUCAAAAUCAACACCUUUCUUAUGAAGCCCAGUGGUCAAUUGCGAAGGCUGUGGCGCUACAGAUUGAGUCUGCGCUACAUUAUCAGAAUCCACAGGCUUCAAAGACGAAGCCUGCAAUCACAUUCAUUACACAAAUUUCAGAAAAUUAAAGAACUAAAAAUAAAAUUUUCAAAAUUGAAAAAAAAGAAAUGGAAAAUUAUAAUUACCCGAGUGAGGGCGACUGCAGCACACGCGAGAUUGAGCUUGCUCUUGAGCAGCUCGCGGUACUGAUCCGAGUUAAUCUGCGCCGUGGACGGCGGAUCCGACGGCGGCGGAGGCGGACAAUUGAGAUGCUGCUGCUGAAGACGAUCGGGCUUCUUGAUCUCGACGACCUCCUCAUCGACCUCCUCGCGCUUCGACGUCGAGGAGUGGGCGGAGGCGGCGGGCGGCGGUGGAGGUGGCGGCGGAGGAGGGGAGACGACUUCCUCGAGAAACUGCUCGAAGGCCCACUCGGAGGCGCUCCGAUUCAUGGGGAGAGACGGCGAGGAGGCCCAGAAGGUGUCGGAGAUGUCGGAGAUUUCGUCGGCCGGAAAAGCCGAAUGCAUAGUCGGCGGCUUUCUCGUUUUCCGGGAUGUGAUCGCGUGGUCUUUGUGUUUGAGAGAGAAAAGAGCCCACCAACUAUGAUUCUCCCAAUUUUAAUGUAUCGGACUUCGGACAAGUAGAGCCGGAUCAGGUGCUUUGCGCAACACGGUAAUAGCUGGACUUUGUCAUCUGGUACCGUUAAUUGAGGUCACUGGACACGUGUUGGUUUCUGAUUGAAGAAGAUUGGCGGAGUUGUGUGGUACGGAGUGUAGGUUAGGGUACCCGAGAGGUAGUGACGGCGGAAUAGAGGACAAAUAUGAUAUAUGAAAGCGAGGACCGACACGUGCGGACUGAUUAACUCUGAGUUCAGUUCAGUGUAACAGUAUUAACUAUUAACAGUGGUAGUUUUCCUUUAUUACUUGGCCGUUGAUUUGAUGGAAGUUGUUCUGUAGCUUUUUGGCGCGCAAAUGACCGACUUGACGGUUACUGGAAGCUGAACUGUUUUGUACCUUCGUUGUUGUGGGAAGGCUGUUUGCUUGGUUCUUUUUAGUUCUUGUUCCUGCUGUGAGAUUAAGAAAAGAUGAAGAAUCAUAUAACUGAAUUAACUUUUGUUUUGAUAGGCUGAUGGUAAAUAAAAUAGUAGAUGUGAAAAUGGGAUCUUCAUUCAACAUUGCAACAAAGGUCUGUGUAAAAAUUACAACUGCAGGGUUUUCGCCUACAUUGAGCGCACUUGCUCCGAGUAGGAGAACUUCUGGAUUACAUAGGAUUCAGCUGUGGUUUCGAACAGAAAGGAAAAAAAAUACAAGAAAUGUGAUUAAAGGAGUGCAGAUUUCAACGACUUGGUGAAGAUUUCUAGUUCCUUCAGUCCUUCCUCGGGAGUGUUGGCAUCACCCAAGAUCUUUACGAUUGCACUACCAACAAUUACACCAUCAGCUCCCCACCCCGCUACCUGUAAAGCAUUCAUGAUUCAUUAUUGGUAUAAGCAACCUAAACCAUUAUGUAGAUUGAGGCAUUACUAACCUGUUUCGCUUGUUCAGGCUUAGAAAUGCCAAAACCAACUGCUACCGGCUUUGAUGUAGCCUGCCACAUAAAAGACAAGCAUAUUAGUCGAAAAAAAAAACUAUAUCAACUGCUAAUGUUAUUUCGGCCAGCUGCUCAAAUAAUCCAGUCCCAGUGCUCAAUUGCAUCCUAAAUGUUUCUCUUAUACACAGAACUGUUAAUUUUUUAAAUGACCUUAAAAAAGAUUAUUUAUAUCAAUUCUUGCGCAAUUGCACUAAGCACCAAAUAAAAUCAAGCUCUUGCUCAGCAAACAAGUAUUUGAUAUCUUUCUUCUUUUUUUUCAUGCAAAUAGUCAAAUGCCAUUCCAUCAAACAACAUGGUAGUCAUUAGGUCAUGUUCUAGAGAACUGAAAAAAUCAUUGAAUUCUCUACCAACAUAUAUUUCUAUGAAAUCCUACACCAUUAAAAGCAACUGAGAAAACAAACCUCUUUAAUUUCCCUUAAAAGAGCAGGAACUCGUUCAUUCACAGAUGCCCGUGCCCCCGUAACUCCAAUUGAGCUCACCUACAAUUCAAAAUGAUGCAUAUGCUUAGCAAUGAGAUAUUGAAAUCCAUAUAUACAUGAGAUAAUCUUGAUAAAUAAAAGAUAUAGGUUCAUGGAGCAACCUCAAGAAGAAAAAAACAGUGAACUUUGCAAAACCUACAUUCAGUAAUUACUUCCAUGAUAUCAAGUAUAGCUACUGCACAAUAGCUUCACUUUCUAUGCACAACAGGUUCUUAAGUCUACUUAGAGCAUAUUAACAAGUAUAUAUGUGAUAUAUCAUGAUUUAUGAGAAAAGGCCAAGAUUUCAAAAUAAAUUAAAGGACAUAAGGAUAGGAGUCUUACCAGGUACAAAAAGCCUUCGGAGGCUUCUGCAAUAGCCUUCAUUCGCUCCAUUGGAGUGGUGGGAGUAGUUAGUAAAACCUAUAAAUCAUAAAGCAUAUCUAAAGUAUUAGAAUCACAUCCAAAAGUGAGGAUAAAAUCAUCUAACGUACUGUUCACAAAUUCGAAGAGAAUGUAAAGGAAAAUGUAUUGAGAAACGAACCAAUUCAAUAUUAUUUUUCAAGGCUUCCUUUCUCAAAAUGACCGUCUCUUCCAACGGGACAUCUGGAACCACAAGUCCUACAAACGGAUAUGGAAUCAGUAAUCUAGUCAAAUUUCUUAUGAUGAACAUCUAUAUGUAAAAAGGUUUGUGCUAAGGAAAUUAUAAUGUGCAAUCUCAAUGACACGCAAAUGAGUAAUUAGAAACCACCAGCACCUUGCAACUUCUUAUUGUAAGCUGAUAGAAUAAAUUUUCUGGCCCGAGAAACAUAAUGAACAGCCUUGGGAAAGUAGCAAUAAAAAGUUGGUGGUAAUUAUAACAAUAUGUGUAUUUACAUUAGCAGGUGCUAGUACAAUCAGGGAAGACACACAUCAUUAGGUGUAACAUCCUAAAUAACAUGUACAAAUGAACUCAGUAACAACUAAUUUACAUAUAAUGACCAAUAGUUAAAGAAGUUUCUGAAUAUUAUUAUAUUGAAGAUUUCAUAAGAUUCAUAACCAUUGUUAUACGUACCAUGUACACCUACGUCUUGAAUGGUGGACAUAAACUCUCCAACACCACGCUUCAUAAUAGGAUUGUAGUAUGUAAAAAGAGCAAUCGGGCAAGACAGUUUAGGAAUCACCUGAUCAACACAUUCACCAAUAUGUACAUAAUAAGAUUAUUUUAAUUGAGAGAGAGAGAGAGAGUUGACUCAGUAAAUGAAGUUGUUAUACUUUAUAUGCUGGCCACUUCACAAUGUAUGUAUAUCAUGCUUCACUUAAGGAAGAAGUACAUAAGAAAGUAUGAGUCAGGUUCCUGCUAUUGAUAUGAUAACAAUUCUUAUUUGUGCAUCAGAUAGAGAUAUGAAGUAUGGAAAUAUGAGAAUAAAUUAGAUGCUUGGAUCCAUAUUUCAUAGGUUGCAGCAACCACAGCAUAUUUCAUUUUUAGUCACAGUAAUAGUUAUGUUCAGCAUGUUUUCACUUGUAAACAAAUAUGAUAUUACUACAGCAGCAUAAGUUUCUCAUAUGCAAAUUUCAGUAAUAAUAUUACAAGAAAUUGGUCAUUUAUUCUAGCAGCAAGUUAACAACUAUCAGACAAUACAAGAUUGCAUGGGAGAUACCUCCUUCAACAUUGCCAAGAUUGCAUUCAAAUUAGUCCCUCUUGCCAAGGCACGAGUGGCCGCGGCCUACAAAAUGCCACAAGAGGUUAAAACUUAAAAGGAGAGGAACCAGUUGAACAUCAAUUGUCAAAGAGAAUACAGAAUGACAAGAUACUAGACUAUCAACCUGAAUAACAGGCCCAUCUGCUAACGGAUCCGAGUACGGCACGCCUAGUUCAAUUAUGUCCGAUCCACAUGAAUCCAGCACCUUCAAUGCCUCUGCAGUGACUGAUAGAUCAGGAUCACCAGCAGUAAUGUAAGGGAUUAAUGCAACCUGCACAGAAGCACGUCUCUGAGCAAAACAACAUAAUUCUCAUAAAUAAACAAUCCCAUCUAAAAUCAACCACAAAUCCUGAUCCUCAAACAAAAUUCAUCUGUUAAACCUAACUGCUCCGAUAUUUAACUGAUAAAAAUAGUGCACAACAAGUAAAAUUUGCUCAAAACUGUUCAAAUCAUAUCUUCUGACCAACUAAUCUACUAAACUACUACAACUCUGAACCCUUGAUUUUACCAUAAUUUACUUCAAUCAAAGGUCUGAGCAAUCACAACCCUCUUCCCCAAACCCAACUAUGCAAUAAACCCAAUACAGAAGACAGCAGGGAAAUGUCAAAACAAUAUGUGCAUUUGCCUAUUGAUUGAGACCAAAUGAAAGCCAUGAACUUGGUGGGUCUGCAAAUUUCUCAACAGCGCUUCAAAUAUCCAAGUAGUAAUGGCACAGCAAAAUCACCAAAAGAUAAAAUCUUUACAAAUACAAUCCGUAAAUUGUAUACCUUGCCUUGCUCCUUGAGUUUGAUGAAUGUUUUGGCCAGGCCAACGGUGGUGUUGGCGGUGGUCAGAGAAGCCAUUGGAGUCAAUUUCUUGAACGAAAGGGAGGAUUUUUGAGCCGGGGACCGGAAAAGCAAUGGGGUUUGAGGGUUCUUCAGGUGAAGAAAACCAGUCGCCGAUUUAAGAGAAGAAGCCAUUAAUAAGUUGAGUAUAAACAAAUGCGAGGCUUUUGUAGGGUUCUCACUGGUCCUCUCCUGGGUUUUAGUACAGUAGUCCUCCAAGUCCAGGUCAGCUUAAUACUCCUUAUCUUACCGUUUACAUUCCGGGAUAACUUUUUCUUAUUUGGUCAGUAAUUCUUAGGGGUGGGCGAUUUGCACCCGUUACCGACCCGAACAGCACCGGAAAAAACAAUUUGGUAACCACACCGAACUAAAACAGUGUCGUUUUAUGGUCAUACCGCACCGAACCGUAUAAAAGCGGGUUGGUUGCGGUUUUAGGUUAUAAUUCAACCGAUUUAAACCAAACUGCACCAAAUUACCCUUUUUUUUCCUUUUUUCCCAUCAAUGGAUUUGGUUUGUAAUAUUCAAGUUUGUAGUUUGCAAGUUGUUGUGUUUGUAUGAUAGUUGAUAUAUGUUGAUUUAUUAAGUGAUCAAAUAUGAUGUUUUUGUUAGUUAAUUGAUAUUUGGAUGACAUUUGUAGACUUGUAUAGACUCUAAUUGCAUUCAACAUUUGUUCAUGCCUUAUAGAAAUUGUUAGGCAAACAUUUGGACAUCCCUUACUUGUUGAAAUAAAUAAAUCGGUCCACACCGAAACCGACUAGCACCGCACCAAAAAAUUGUGUAACCGAAUUAUUCUAAAACCGAAAAAACGGUUUGGUUACGGUUUGAAAUAUUCUAAAACCGAAAAAAACAGUUCGGUUACGGUUUAAGCCUCAAACCGAUCUGAACCGAACCGCGCCCAACUCUAGUAAUUCUGAUUUGGAUUUUGUGGUAACUUUCUUUUCAUUCUUGUAAAUCAAUAUAAGGUAAUGUUUAUCAAUUAUUUGUGUCUUUACAUAACGGGUCAUCUUUUUUCCUAAGUGCGGGUUAAAUAAGGGUGUGUACCUAUGUUUUUAGAGAAAAAAAAAUUUUCAUUAAAUAUUUCAAAAAAUAAAAACAUAUAUGUCCAGUAUCAUUUGGACUAAUGACAUAAGUCACUCCUUGUAAAUGCGAGGUCGUGAAUUCGACUCACAAUAGACUGGGAAAUAGAUGUAAAUAAGCGAUUCGAGUCAAAUAGAGGAUCUUGAUAUCUCAAAUAAGCGAUUUGAGUCGCCAAUGAUCUUGAUAUCUUAAAACGGUUUCUGAAUGUUGUACCGUUAAAGAUGGUCCCGUUGAUGCUAAAAGGUUUAACUUCAAGUCUAUUGUGAUUGAAGGAGAUUCUCUUUUAACGAUCAACUGCGUUAAUAAUGCAUGUGAAGUCCAUUGGCGUCUCAAAUCCCAUAUUUGAGAUGUCCUUCAUGUUGCUAGUGAGUUUGAUAAUAUCAACUUUGUUCAUGCUUUCCGAGAAGCCAACUUCUUAGCGGAUGCUCUUUCAAAUCUUGGGUACGGCCUCCAUUCUUCGAAGACCUGGCUAGGGGUCUUUCAUUCUCAAGCUGCGUAGGCUUUACAUUUAAAUAUGAUAAAUAUUAGCUGACCUAAAGCACCUCAUUGUAAUUUUAUUAUUUUUUUUAAAAAAAAUUUCAAACAGUCCAUUAAGGAACUAAAUGACAAGGCGAGAAUCACCGACAACAACAAGGAAUCUAACGUUAGCAUUCUUCGCAGCUAGAAUGCUAGCCCUUGAGGGUUGUACACUCGGCAAUGGGUGUUAGCCGAAAAGUCAUCCUCAAGUAUAAGGGGUACAAAUAAUAGUAUUGGAUUUAAAAAAAGUUGUCAAACCCACGAGGAUUGAAUUCCUUUCACUAGCUAGGGUGUUAACCUUUAGAAAGCUAGAAUAUGCAAAUAUACAAUCACAAACCUAAAUACACAAGGAAAUCUAAGCUUUGGUGCGUAUGUGCAAGAUGGACUAAUGAUUUGAUUUUGGGUUUUUGAAGUUGUGAACUAAACUAAACAAAAUGCUCAAAUGUAAACUAAAUUACUCUAAACUAAACUAGUGGUCUAAUAAAUGGUGUUAGGAUUCGAAUUGUUUACCACUAACACCUCUUGCAAAUAUUGAUGCAAAUUAAUAUGAAUGAUGCUAAGCUAAUCAACUAAUGUCUCUCUUUGCAUCCCUCUCAUGUAUGACAAGGGACAUGCUCCUUUUGUGGUAUCAAGCAACCCUUCUCGGGUGUAGUACUUAACUACUUAAGUUAUGCAAUUCAAUCCGGUUAGGCAUCUAAUGCAUUAUCCUAAGUGUAUAAAGUUUGGAGAUGAAGAAACUAUGCAAACCAACUAAGCUUAUCUUUAAGCGAUUGUAAUUCACAACCUCUACAUGCACACCUACUGUGCUUUCAUACUUUAACAUUCAAAUAUUACCAAGCUCUAAACAUUAACAUGUCAUGGCAAACACACAUACUCAAAGUGGUAAAGUCUAAGCAUAUGCAUUCAACUCUUGAACUAGUAUGUACGAAUGUUAACUAAAUUGCAUUACAUCAUGUAAUAGCAUCAAUCCAUACAAGAUUGGUUAGGGUUUUCAACCACCCUAACAAAGUACUACUCACUCAUAAUUACAUAAACAAACUCCAUAAUCAAAUUAAACAUAAAAAUAGAUCUAGAGUUUAAGGGAGAGAGUUGGCUUAGUGGUGUUUUGAUUGAUCCCCAAGCUCACGUCUUAGUGGUGGUGGUGAUGGUGAUGGUGGUGAUUCCAUCUCCUUCUUGCUCUUGAAGAUUUGAUGAUAAAAGGUAAUGAAGCUUGAUCUAUGCUUUGGGUGAAUAGGUGGAGUGGAUGAAGAAAAUGAUAGAGAAAAGAGAGUGGAGAAAUGGUGUAGUAGUGGUGGUGUUAAUGGAGGUUUGGGAUUAGAGAUGGUGGUGGUGAUGGAGUAGAUUGGGGGAGGAAGAGGAAGAAGAUGAGUUUGGAUUUUGGGAGGAGGAGAUGGAGGUUUAGUGGUAGAGAUGGAGGAAAAGAGAAAAGGGUGAAUGAGUGGAUGAUGGGUGUUGUGUAUGUAACUUUGAUUAUAUAGAUAGAGAUAGAUGAGUGAAAAGUGGGAGAGAGAAGAGAAGAGUGUGAAAUGGUGAAAAGCUCACAAAAGUCAAGAGAAAAUAUAGGGAAAUGAUGACAUAGAUUAGAGUAGGCAAUGAUGAUGUUUAAAGCAUGAUGAUGUCUAUUAUCCAAGCAAUAAUAUGAUGGAAGUAAAGAUGUUACUCCACCUUCUUUGUCAUCCUUGCUCCUCCUUCAUGGUGACCGGAAAAGCCAUGGCACCACCAAAAGUGGUGGUGAGCUGCCGUUUGUGGUGAUUCGUCGGAAUUCAGGAUUUUAUGCUUCGCUCCACAUUGAACCGCAAUUCUUCUUAACUCCGAUUCUUCAUAUUAAUACCAAAAAUUAAUGUUUCUUUCACUCUUGCAUUUUACCUAGAUAAAUGAUUUAGUGAAAAUUAAACUGAACUCAAAAACAAGUUAAAGUCAAAAUUUAAGGGAAUACAAAUAUGUGUAAAUUAUGGUCUAACAAUGGGAACAUUUGAACCAUGCAGUUUUCUGCUAACUCCAACAAGCUAGUAUAGGGGAACCAGUUUCCAAUUUGUAUGAUUGAUCGAUAAACAUAUAGUUGAGAAUUAGAAAAGGAAAAUAUAUUUGCUUGUUUUACAAUGACUUUGAUAUCGUCAUAUUUUUCCCAUGUUACUUAUGCUAAGCACGCAGAGCUCUUAGCUCUGAUAUUGGGAGUAGAGCGUGCUUUGUCCUAUCAGUUGGUAGCUUUGGUUGUGGAAAUUGAUUGCUUGGAGUUGGUACAAGCUGUGACAGGUCAAUCACUUGAUUUAGAGUUGGGUUUUCUUAUUUCGGAACUCAAACAUCCUUUGCCACAGUUAGUUAUGUCAGACGUGAGGUCAAUAAGGUGUCACAAUCUCUUACCAGGGACGCCAAAGUAGCGUUGUAUUCUAAUGAUGUUUUAAUGUUAUUCCUCCGUUUGUGGAGGUGUUACUCUCUCAUGAUUGUAAUGAUUCUUAAUCAAUGAAGUUCUUCAUUCCCAAAAAAUAUAUAUAUGCCUAGUCAUAAUCAACUCAGCUUGGAUCUGCUCUAAUCGUUAUAUAAACAUGAAGCGACUUCACCGAUGAAAAGUUGACAAGACAACUACUAGUAGACACCAAAUUUCUCUUCAAGCCGCUAAGACUCGCCCUCACGUGAUGUGACAAGGCAGCCCAACACAAGCUCAUGAAGACCGGCCAAUCCAACAUUAAGGGAUAAGUGAAGUUCAACCACUUCCUAAGCUAUAAAUGACAUCCCACUACCCUAAACAGUUGCAUAAAACAGAAAACCACAUUUCAACAGAUUUAAAUAAAUAAGGACAUAAGCCUAGACCCAAAGUUCAUAGUACCAUGCCAUGUCAGCAAUUUUUUACGCAAAAUACCCAAAAAACUAAUUUUUCUGAAAUAUCUAUAAAACUACCACUAACUCAACCAAAAAUAUCUUCUCUCUCUUUCUUUGAUCUAUCAUAUUUCAAAUUCUCUCUCUCUCUCUCNNNNNNNNNNNNNNNNNNNNACGGCGUACGUACUCUUCUUAUUCAUCUUCAUUGGAUUGGUGGUGGAUUAUUAGAAAACGAUUGGGUGGCGAUCUGAUUCAACAACUUGGUUAUGGAACCCGAUCGCCGUCGAAGUCUUCGAUCCAAAAGGAAUAAGGAUUAAGAGGAUGCUACUGUUUGUUUUUUUUUUCUUUCCAGAUUUGCUCCAUGUCCCAUUUCCAAAUUAGAAUUGGGUCUGUUUGAUUUGAUUCAAUAAUGAUCAUGAUUUUGUUUGAGAAACUUGUAUUGAUUUUAGGCAAAUUGGUGUAUUUGUUUCAAAAGAUUUGAUUAUCUUUUUUUGGGUUUUUAAGCACAAUGGGAGUUAUGCACAUUAGGUGUUUGAUGAAAGUCCUCAAUAAGGUUGUUGUUAUACAAAACCCUUUUACAUGUUGAUCAUCUAAUUGCUAUUGAUUCAAUAAUCAUGAUGUGGGAAUAAAUCCAUUUUUGCACAUUAGAAUAACAAUUUAUAGACAAGAUAAUCUGAUGAAGUUUAUACUAAUAUGUGUUAAUUAAGCUAUUGUCUAUCGAUUUCGCUAAAUACCUGCUACUGUAUUUUCUGAAAGUUGAUGCUACAACACUAGCUGAGUCACUAAAAGCUUGCUACUACUCUACUGGUAAUACCUUGUUACUACAUUUUUGGAAAUAGUUUUUAGUCUUGCUACCAACUAAUUGAGCCACUAAAAACAUGUUGCUGCACUUUUUUGAAAAUAACUGCUACUACAUUAGCUGAGUCACUAAAAGCCUGCCGCUACUACAUUUACUGGAAAUAGCUUUGCUACUGCAUUUACUGGAAGUAGUUGCUACUAUAUUGGCUGAGCCACUGAAAACAUGCUACUACAUUUAUUGGAAAUAGCUGCUACUGCAUUUACUAGAAGUAAUUGCUACUACACCAGCUGAACCACUAAAAACCUGCUAUUACUGUACGUACUGAAAAUAACUGCUGCUACAUUUGCUGAGCCACUGAAAACAUGUUAGUGCACUUACUGAAGCUGCUACUGCACUUACUGGAGUUGCUACUACACUAGCUGAACCACCAAAACCCUGCUACUACAUCUGUUGGAAGUGUAGUUUUCCAGCAAAACAUGCUACUACAUUAGCUGAUUCACUAAAAACCUGCUAUUGCACUUACUAAAGCUGCUACUACACUAGCUGAACCACUAAAACCCUGCUACUACUUCUACUGGGAUGUUAACCUCUGCUACUACUUUGUACUAGAAUGUUAACCCACGAUACUACUUCUACUGGAAUUAACUGCUACUACUACUGAGAUGUUAACCCCUGCUACUGCACUGGAAUUAACUGCUACUAUACUAAGUUAUUGAAAACACACUAUUGUAUUCCAUUUACUGAAAAAUCUUAAAAUGAGAGACUUUUCUCUUCUAAAAGCAUAUUUAAUUAGUAUAGGGUUAGUUUAGUAAAUUAAACCAUGACACAUGGCAUGCAGAAAAAAGAUUGUCCUUAAUUAUUAAAAACUGUCUUUAUUUGUUUAAUAACAACACAAGUGGAUUUAAUUGUGUUUUAAAUCUUUUUAGAGAAUAUAUAUGUAAUUUGCUAUAUUUAUUUGUCUUCAAUAACUACGCAAUUAGUACUCAACUAUUGUCACUUUGUCUACGUGAAUAUAUUCGCUAUAUAAGCCAUCAUAGUAGUGAAGACCGUCAACCGUGGUCUCCUUUUCUGACACCCCCCCCCCCCCCUUCCUUUUUCAUUUGACAAUUUUCGAAUCCAUUCACCUCAUAGAUAAUCCAACCAAUUAUAAACUUAGUCCGCCAGACAAGAGAAUCAAACCCCUCUCUAAUUCAUAAUGUAUACAGAGAACCGACCAUACACACAUGAUCAGUUGAGAAGUCGUAAGUUCUAUUUCACAUAAAAAAUUCAUAUCUAUAUUAAGGUUGUAUUGGUCUUAUAUACAUACGGUGUAAGUACAUUGUGCAAUUUUAAUUAUAACUAUUUAUAUGUAAGAAGCACGAUGUAUUUAUAUUAAUGACAUUUAUUCUUAGCAAUCCAAAUAAUAUGUAUAGAUACAUGUUAUGAACCGAAGACUCUCGGGCAGAUCAGUUAAUCUGUCACGCACAGUAUCAAGGGAAGCAAUAUUCUAAAGUGGGCCGCGGGGUAUUCGGGCCCAGAAAUUUUACUAGAUUGCCCCGGCAAAGCGCCAAAUUUAAAUGGCAACGAGAUGUAAUAAUAGAGAACUCCGGGCCCUUUCACAGAAAUAGAAACAUUUUUAAGCAGGAUAAAGCCACCCUCACUUUUCGUCUCUUCGCUCUCACACUCGUACUGAGCAGAAAGCAAACCAAAGCUUCACUCUCAAAAAGUCCUCUCUCUCUCUCUCUCUCUCUNNCNCNUNNNNNNNNNNNNNUNNUNUNUNUCUNUCUNUCUCUACUAACUACUCUCUCUCUCUCUCUCUCUCUCUCUCUCUCUCUCUCUUCUUCUUUGCAUGUAGAUGCUCUCUGAAAACCCUAACUCGCCCCAAACCCCCUAUCUCAUCUCCGAUUCCUCCCCAUGGCCAACAACCC